rnacentral:lncRNA from 1 species
UAUAUAUAUAUAUAAUCUUUCUGCCAAUGAAGCGCCUGCCAAUCAGAGAAGUUAAUUUUUUAAUAUAUUUUUCGACGCCGGCCCCGCCCCUGAUCUUAUAGCUUUGACUCCAGAUGAAUGAGGCUUUUCAUUCAUGUUAUUCUUUGAAAGAUCGUGAUUCCAAAGGCUGCUGACAAAAGAAGAUUCUUGAGGCUGCCAAUCAUGGCCAUCGCUGCAUAAAUAUAUAUAUAUUAAAUCAAACAGGAGUGCGGUUACUUUAUACGUACAACUUGGGUUCUUGCCUUGCUGCCGUCAUGGAGAAUUAAUGCCACUGGUCAACGGUGAAUCAAUGGCCAUCGGGCACCAAAUUCAUGACCAAUCAAUGGCCAACAAGCACCAAAUUAAUGCCAAGCACACCAACAACCACCGAUUAAAUGGCAAGUUUAGUGUUUUAAAGUUUAGAAUAUGGAGAAGGACUUGCUACUGUAUCCAGGUAUUAAAUCAUCAAAAACCAAUUUGGUUUGGACUCUUCAAUUUCAAUUUGACUUCUACACCAACACCACACAACAACUCAACAACCGAAUCACUCGUCCUAAUAGCAUAGCAAUCCAGUCGUCGGUUGCCCGCACGUGAGAGACUAUUUUCUUAUUCGUGCUCGGAAUUGUUGAAUUAAUUUUACAAUUCUCUUGUACCAAUUUUCAUCAUAUAUGCUCCCUCAAGAAGUGAAGAUCGAUGUCGGAAUCACUUUAAUUUAGUUUCAAUUACAUGAUGUUUGGGAUCUUCUUAUACCAAUUUCGGUCUACAAUUGCCUCAAGUAUCUAUGUCCGUCAAAUCUUAUUUGUAUUAAAGCAACCGCUUAAACCGUUAACCUGUUUGAUUUAAAAAACAAAUAUUUGGAGCUGUUAGAUUGAACUCGUGUAAAUUAGGAUUACUAAUCCGAUAAUUUUAAAAUUAAAUUCAAAUUUAGUUUCCUUUAAUUCAAUUCAAGUAAAUUUAUUAAAUAUGAAAUAAAUAUUUAAUCUUAAAAUUAAUCCAAUUGGAUACUUAAUCCUGACAUCCAGACAAGGCCUUAUUUGCCUUAAAGGCAACUUAAAAAGAGGUGUGACCAAAAACGUUUAUAAAGCCAUUUUGUUUUUCGGGUUCAUAUAUAUAUAUAUAUAUAUAUAUAUAUAAUCUUUAUGCCAAUGAAGCGCCCAUCAAUCAGCGAAGUUAAUUUUUUUUUAAUUUCUUUUUCGACUGUGAUUCCGGAGGCUGCUGUCAAGACAAGAUUCCAGAGGAUGCUGAUAAGACAAAUUCAAAUUGACCUUUUUAAUAAUUAUUAUCUUUUCUAAGGUUUAAAAUUUUAUGUGUAACGUACAGCUAAUGUGAUGUAAGUUUUACCUGAUGUAUGAGUUGAUGAACCAUCAUGGUGAAAUCAAAAUACAAAAAUAAUAGAGGUCAAUAACGGCAUUCAAAAGAAAAGAAAAAUUAAAACACAAAGAAAAUAAGGCCGUUGGAUUCGUUUUUUCAAUUUUUUUUCUGAAUAUUAAUACGUUACAAUGAAAGAACUUGCUAAUAUUUUCCAUAUUGAUCAGGAUAAAAAGAUUGUUGAUACAAUCAUACGUCAAUUUUGUAAUAUUAUAGUACAAUUCAAAAGUUUUAUUUUAUUUUAAAAUAUAUUUAUCCUACAUAUUUAUAAAAGAUAUUGUAAAAGAAUUAAAUUAAUUAAGAUUAAAUCUUCCUGCAAUCAUACUUGUUCAAGCUUCAAGUGUUCUCUACAUUCACUAAAUUUUAUAAAAGUAUCUUCUUACUUUUUCUACUCUAUAGCCUUUCUCUUGUGAUGGAAAAUAAAUUCUUAACAAGCAUAGACUUGGAUAGGCUAGAAACCCUUUUUAUAACAAUAUUUCAUAACUUAGAAGACUUUACACUUCCUCCAUCAAAGAAGUGAAUUUAAUAACCUUUAGCACUUCGAUUAUGAAAAUGAUUAGUAAACUAUAAUGCUAUCCCUUGAAAUAAAUAAGUAGGUUAUUAAUAUAAGUUUAUCUAUUUAUUUAAAAAAAAUCACUUAUCAUGUGGACUAUAUAAUGAAACUUUGUGGAGAUAUAUCUACCCACAUUUAACUAUAUAAUGAGAUAUGAAAUUAGAGGUCCAAGGAGUAGUACUCAAAUCUACAACCUCAAAAGUUGAGGUCGUGGCAGGCAAAAGAAAAAGGAGAACCACGUGUUGCUGGAAAAGGAACUUACAUGAGUAACUGCAAAUUAAGCAAACACUAAAUUUUUCCCUCUUUAUAUGAUAAAAUCGGAAUGUGUAUAAAAAAUAAACAAGCAAAAAAUAAAACCAACACAAUUGAAAACAAUAAAUCAACCAUAAGAGAUACAAAUUAUUUUAUGUGGAAAACUCAAAUCGAGAAAAAACCACAGGACCAUACAGGGGCGGAUGCAUCAUAAGACCAGUGGGGACUUGAGCCCCCACUAGGCAAAAAAAAAAUUCUAAAAUUGAAAGAGAAAAAUAUUUUCGUUUUCUAAUUAACCCCCAUUAAUUUAUUAAAAUAGUCACUAUAAAUUAUAAAACCCUAUAAAAUUUAAACUUUAACUUUUAAAAAUUAUAAAAACUUAUAUUUUAAUUAAAAAUAAUAAUAGCCCACCACCCAAAAUAUUUUAUAUUCUUAAAAAUAGGAUUAAUUCUUCAAGUUUCUAUAAUAAUAGUAGAGCGAACGUUUUCAGUAAUGAAACUCAUGAAGAAUCAUCUUUGGAAUCGGAUGGGAUAAAUGAUAGUUUUGUUGUUUAUAUAGAAAACAAUAAAUUUAAUAAUAUUGAUAAUGAGUUUAUUGCAUAACAUUUUUAAAAUAUGAAAAUGCAUAGAGAAUAAUUAUAAAUGUAUUAGCAAAUAAUUUAUAUAUUCAAAAUUUUAGUUUUUCAUAUUUUACUACUAUCUAAUUUAGCCCCCAGUAAAUUAUUUUUCUAGAUCCGCCACUGGGACCAUAGUCCAAUAUAACCUUCCAUUAUAUUAAUAAUGGGAUUACUACACAAAUUCUUCUCUAAAUAAUACUAGAGGCAAACAAUAUCAAGAAUCUCAACAAUCUUGCUCAUAGUAAUAGUCUAAUAUUUUUCAUUCUAACAAGUGGGUAUCUUAGAUAACAACCAAUGAGAGAAUGAAAUAAAAAUCAAGACCAGUAAGAAUGUAGAGGGCGAUGCCAGAAAUUGCCUUCCAAAUUUGGGAGAUUAAGUUUGCCUUUCGAUCGUCCAUUCAAAGAUUAAAAUCCUUACCCCCAAAUUGAGUUGGCCAUUGUCUUCUUUUUCUCUCUCAUCUUUUCUAUGUUUUUAAGGCUGCUGCUUCACUUGUCUACUUUUUCUUUUAUAGCCAGGUGAUUUUCAAAGCCAAAUUUGAUGGCAAUUUUCAAUUAGCCAUAACAUAUUUCCUUUAAUUUCUUAAACACCCAAACUAAUGGAAACUUUGGUUUGGGCCACCCAAAUGAGAUGGAUUCAACAAAUCUUCCCAUCAGAUCAUAUGGGGGGCACUACCAAGCCCGUUCUCUACUUACAGUCUUUCAGCUUCUCCUUGGGCAACGACUUUGUCAUCAUAUCUGACACAUUCUUCAUGAAUAUAGUCAGGCUACAACUAUUUCUUUUCAAGCACGUCUUGUAUUCAUUGAUAUCUCACCUUAUAUGCUUGAAUUUCGAAUGGUAUGUUAAAUUCAUUGCCAAGUGAGAGCACUUUGAUUAUCACAGUACACGACAUAGCUAUUUUGUUUCACAUCCAGCUCUUGUAAGAAAUUCUUCACCACAAAGGGUUUUAGUGAUUGCAAUAUACUCUGCUUCUAUGGUGGGGACAACAACACGAAGUUUGAAAUCCUCUUAGACUACCCCCUGCAAAGGUAAGCAAAUAUCCUGAUAGGAAUUUUCUAGGAUCAACAUCUCUUGCCAUAUAUGUUGUACACUUAUAACACAACUUGUCACCAUUAAAACAUAAACAUGUCUUGGAAGUGUUCUUUGCCUGUACUAUAAAGAAACUGACUGAGUACACCGACUGCAUGGGCAAUAUUUGGUACAAGCCAUGGCGUACAUCAGUCUGCAAAGUGUUGAAGCAUAAAAUAGUCCUUUCAUCUGCUGCUUCUCUUUCUCGCUUGUAGGAAAAUGCUUGGAACUAAACCUAAAAUGGCCCGCAAGUGGAGAACAAACAUAUUUUGCCUUGCUCAUGUUAAUUCUUUCAAGAGCACUUUCAAUAAAUGCUUCUUGAGAUAACCAUAACUUGCCAAUUUUUCUGUCAUAGGAAAUCGUCAUGCCAAGAAUGUAUUUGUCGAUCCUUGGUCUUUUAUUAUAAAUGACUUGCUAAGCUUUUUCUUUAGAUUAUCAAUCUUACUAGCAUCAUGGUCAACAAUCAACAUAUCAUCCACAUAAAGCAAAAGAAUGAUAAAAUUAUUAUCACCAAGCUUCUUUACAAAAAGACAAUGGUCAGACAUAAUCUUGCUAAAACCAUGAUUCUCAAUAAAAAAAUCAAACUUUUUGUAAUAUAGUCUUGGUGCCUAUUUCAGUCAAUACAAACUUUUCUUCAACUUGCAUACACUUUCUUUGUUGCCUUUAACAUUGAAUCAUUCAGAUUGCUCCAUGAAUAUCUCCUCCUUUUAAGUCACCAUGCAAGAAACGCAUUCUCAUAUCCUAGAGACUUUCUAUCCAUCAACAUCCAAGAUUUAUCCAUAUUUAGACUAUUAACUUUCCUACAAAUGCAUCACAUUUCAUUUGUUCAGUUUUAUUAAUAUUGGAGUUUGAUAUUGUUUCCAACUAUAAGAACAACUAUUAAAGUUACAAAAUCAACAAGAAAACAGCAGUUAAAAUACAAUAAAAAAUAACACUUAACAGCAAGAGAAAACCUAUAUCUUCAUCAUGACUAAUUAUAACACUAAUAUUAUAAGCCAUAUACCAUAAAUCAUGGAAAGAGCAAAUAAUAUAAUUUUCAAAAAAUAGAGAAAUAGAAAAAAAUAGAAGUACCUUUUGCUAUUCGUUCCAAGAAUCGCGGAGCAGGUAACAACUUAAGAGACUAAAUCACGACUAAAAAUAGAGAAGAAUAGAAGCAAGACUUGUUUUUAGAUUUCUACUGAAAAAGACAAAAUUAUUGAAAUAAAACUUGUCCACGACAAUAAACUAGCUAGCUAUUGAAAUGAUUUAAACAAUCCAUAAAUAAAGUAUUAAAUUAAGUAUGCAAAUGUCACAUGUAGCAAAACAACAUAUGCAAUAUGAUGAAAUUUCAACAGCAAAAUUGGGUGUUAAAACCGUUAAAUAAAAUCCAUUUUUCCAUUAGAGAAAUCUAAAUUUUGAGAAUUUUGGUUUAGCUUGCUUUGGUCAAACUCAGUCACUCUGCACAGUGACAAAGAAAAAGAAGCAGUUGAAACAAAAUGAGAGUGACAUUGCAUAGACUUGAUAGUGAAAUGUCAUUUUCUUGAUGCUAAUUUAUUCCGUUUCUAUUUGGAAUGAUUGAUACAAGCGGAAAGGUGUUAAAGAAUUGCUUAAAAUACUUUAUAGGGGCAAAGAGCAAUUGCAGCAGUUUAGCCAUGUCAAUAAGUAAGAACUUGACCAGUAUGUAAAGUUCACAAAGUAGCUAGAAGAACUCCCGAGAAGGCAUUAGUAGAAUGUAGCCACUAUAAAAAUUUCCACAAACAAAUUAAUUUAUAAAAAAGCAGUGGAUAAGGAGUUAAGCAUACAUUAAUUUGUUUUUGGAACAUACAGCGAAAUUUCCAUAUUGGCUACUAUUCCACUAAUGGUUUCUUUCCACAAUUCCCAAUAUUAAGAUCUAUUGAAAACUAAGCAUACAUUAAAUUGCUUGUGGAAAUUUACAUAAGUCAAUAUAACAGCAGUUGAACUGGAUGCAGUUUGGGUGGAGAAAAAUAGUUUCUGUUCCUAAUUCCCAUUAUUAUGUUCUAUUGAAAAUUAAACAUACAUUAAUUUGUUUCUGGAAAUUUACAUAAGUCAAUAUAAUAGUAGCUGAACUGGAUGCAGUUUGGGUGGAGAAGUAGUGAGCGCUGGUUUUGGUGGAGAUGUUGGAAUUAAAGAGGUACUAAAUAACUACAACUUUAAAUCAAAAGAAAGGUUUGUGCUAAUAUUUGCCAUGCAUAACUUCAACUUUAAAUCAAACUAAUGCUUACAAAUGGCAUGCAUCCAUAUCCACCACGUCGCAUACUACAUCACUCUUAUAAAUCUUUCUAAUGGAGAAAGCAACACGACAUUAUUCGCAUUUUUGUCCCUUUCUUAAUCUACUAUAUUUUGUAAGGUGCUGGAUAUUUUUCUGUUGAAAGUCCUAUCACAUCGAUUAGCGCCUUUAAAAUUAUGUUCUCGCUAUUGUUGAUAUCAAUUAUCACAUUGCACACCUUAUCUUUGAUGGUGCCACGUGUUCUGAAAUCUUACUGCACUAAUUAUCCUCUUCAAAUCUUGGUGCUAAUAAAAUCUUCUACAUAGUGUAAUUCAACAUCUCUCCUUCAUGUACCUCUAACUCUAAAGCUUCUUCAUCAUCCUCAUCCUCAACAUUAUUCAUCUCUGCUUAGCCAUAGCGUUUAUUUUCUCUCUUUCAAAUAUCAAAUAAUGGUUAAUAUUUUCUUCAGGAUUAUCUUUUCUUUCUUGCUUGUGAUGCUGCUGCUGCUGCUGCUCAUGAAUGAUAAAGUGGCGCUAGGGCAAGAUGGGGAUCCCGUGGGAUCAACACAAGGAGGAGGAGGAAGAGAAAUGGUGCCUGCCUUGUUCAUUUUUGGAGAUUCACUUAUCGAUAAUGGCAACAAUAACAAUCUUCCUUCUUUUGCCAAAGCAAAUUAUUACCCCUAUGGUAUCGAUUUCAAUGGUGGCCCAACUGGCCGCUUUUCUAGCGGCUACACCAUGGUCGAUGAAAUUGGUAACUCUCUUUAUCUAUGCAUUUGAUUUAUAUUUUUAUAAUUUUUUUUCCUUUUCAAAAUCCUGAAGGUACAUGAAAAUUUAUAUACACCAUGAUUGCAUGCAAUGCAGGGUAUUUUAAUUGCUGAUCUGACAAAUUAUUAUGAUUACUUCUUUGCUAGCUAAAAAAAAGCAUAAAACAGAUGUCAUUUUUAGAUUUUUCUCCUUUGUAAAUUUGUGUCACACUCUUGAGCAUAGUUAGAAAUAUCUGUGAAGUGAGUUUCAUAGUCAUGGCUUCAAUGACACAAAUCCAAAUUCAUUACAAUUAAUUAAUUGAUUUCCUACUUCUAUCCCUUUUAAAAAAAAUAACAAAAUAAAAGUACUUGUUUAGUUAUCUAUUUGGGGAGGGGGGGGGGGGGGGGGAAGGAAAGACUAUUGCCGUUUAUUGCUCUGCCCCUACCUCUAUAUGUCUCUUUGGGAGGGCUCGCACUGUCCCAUAAUAUUUAUUUCUAAACAAUCACAGUCAUUAUCUUAAAUCAAUAAAAAUAACAGAAUUUUUUCUUUUAUUUUUUACAUUUAUUAUAUCUACACCCACUUAUACCUAACUUGUAUUAAUCCGCAAGUACGAUCUGUUUGGGGAUAAAUUCACCAUAUCUGGUAGGCAUGUCUUAUUAAUGGCUAAAAGCUUCCAUAUGCAUAACCUCUUUAAAUUGUGUCCCCUUUCAAAGAAAAUUUUCUUUUUUGUCCAUUAGCUUUUAUUUACUCUUCACAAAUAUUUUUAAUGUCAUAUUAACCAAAUCUUGUAAAUUCAUCCAUUCAGCUGAACUACUGGGACUUCCUCUGAUUCCUGCAUACUCUGAGGCUUCCGGUGCACAAGUGCUUCACGGAGUCAACUAUGCUUCUGCUGCUGCUGGAAUCCUCGACAUCACCGGAAGAAACUUCGUAAGGACUCAUAUAUCUAAUUCAAACGAACCAGGAUUCCCUUUUGAUCUGAAUUUUAAUUAGAGGAUUCUAUAUCUAACACGAGAUCCGAUCAUUAGUAGAAAAUGUUUGCUGCAUGGUCAGGUAGGUCGCAUACCGUUUGAUCAACAAAUAAGGAAUUUUCAGAACACACUUGAUCAGGUCACUGAUAAUCUCGGAGCAAGUGAUGUAUCAAAUGCAAUUGCAAGAUGUAUAUUUUUUGUAGGAAUGGGCAGCAAUGACUACCUAAACAAUUAUCUCAUGCCCAAUUACAAUACCAAAAAUCAAUACAAUGCUCAGCAAUAUGCUGAUCUUUUGGUUUCAGAAUACUCAAGACAACUCACAGUAAGAUUCAAUUUCACUAUAUUUACAUUUUUUACCAUAUGCAUGCAUUUUAGUUACUUUUUUUUUUAGCUUGUAAACAUAUUUAUAUAACUUGUAUUAAGUAUUGAUUGAAAAUCUACAGACCCUUUACAAUUUGGGAGCAAGGAAAUUUGUGUUGGCCGGAUUAGGAAGAAUCGGAUGUAUUCCAAGAAUUUUGGCUCAAAAUCAAAUGGAUCGCUGUUCAGAAGAAGUGAAUCAACUUGUUAUGCCUUUUAAUGCAAAUGUGAAGACUGUGAUUAACAAUCUUAAUGCCAAUCUUCCUGGUGCAAGAUUCACCUUCAUUGACAUUGCCCGCAUGUUUGAAGAUCUCCUCACCAAUUAUAGAUCAUACGGUAUGCAAUUUUCCCACUAAACAUAUCGUAUUGUAGUUAGAUAUGAUGUGUGCUGUCUAGCCUAAAAUCUUUUAUUUUAAAAUGUGCGGACACUGACAAAAGAUAAUAAAGAUUUCGUCCUCAUAUUUUAAAAUCAAGGAACAAUUUACAGUGGCUGAACUAGGAUUUUGAUUUGACAAGCACGGCCUAGAGGUGGAAAUAACGGAGAAAUUAUCGUCUUGCUGUGCUACAAUAAAAGCAAGACAUUUUAAAAUUAAAUUAAAAUAGGUGCAUAAAAUAAACAAAAUUUUACUUAAUAGAAUAAUGUUUAUGAUCACUUUUUUUUUUAUCCCAAAUAAUUCUACAGGAUUCAGUGUAAUAGAUCGAGGGUGCUGUGGCAUUGGACGAAACGGAGGCCAAAUUACAUGUCUUCCAUUCCAAACACCAUGUGCAAAUCGAGAACAAUACGUUUUCUGGGAUGCAUUUCACCCAACAGAAGCUGUGAACAUUAUGUUUGGAAGAAAAGCUUUCUAUGGUGACCAGAGCGUUGUUUAUCCCAUGAACAUCCAGCAGCUUGCCAGUCUUUAAACUUAGAAAUUAAAGGGACAUAUAUGUUAUUGUAAUGUUUCUUGCUUGCUUAAUUGCUUUGCAUAAUUGUUGGGAUUAUAUGCUCUUUUAAAGCAUAUUAAUUUAUUUUCUAAUUAAUAAAAUAUUUGAGAUAUUUUCAAUUGCAUAAAUAUUUUGAAUAAGGUCCGUUUAAUCAUAUUAUAUGUAUUUAUGUAAUCAUCAUAUGGAUUCACAGAAGAUAUAAAUACAAGUUAUCUUAUGAUUAAAUAAAUUAAGUUCGCAGUUGAUAAAUAGAGUUGGGCGCUCUAUUUAUGUUUAGACUGUAGUUAAUUCAUUGAAUGAUUUGCCUUAAUCAUAUAUCAAUUUACUGAUGUAGUUUGACUACAUUGAGCUGGAUGACAUAUAAGAUUUAAUUAACCUUGAAAUGACUGUUAGACUUAUUAAAUCUCAUAGGCAUUGAUUUUACUGUAAUCUUAAUCUUGAGUUAGUUAUGAUUUCAUGAUUGUAAUUGUUAUUCCAUUUGAGUUACCAAUGGGCACGACACACAAUUGUGGUCAAGAUUACCCGGUAUCUUGGUGGGAGCAAUUAUGAGUAUUGGAGUUAUAGAUUAACAAUAUAGAAUUUGUACGACGCAUCUGUUGAUGGGUUUUCAGCACUUGAUCAUAGAAUUCUCUGGUCAGAGUGUGUCAACAUAUUUAGUAUGUUGAAAAUGAUCAUUAGAGAAAACCAGUAAGUAUCAAAGAAUAAGAUGUAAUUAAAUUGAUUGAACAAUUGAGAUAUCGAUUUAAUUAACGAUGUGGUCCAAAGGAUUGAGCAGUAAAGAAAUCAGUUUGUCUUGGGACGAAUUAUUAUUCGAACAUACAAUUAUGGAGGUCAGUUCCAAUCUUAUAGUGGAGUAGAGUUGGAAUUAAAUGAUUAGGCUUAUUUAAUUACAGACUUAAUUGUUGUAGCCACUAUUGUAUAUUCCCAAACGAUCCCCGGGUUAGCUUAUUUAAUUGACUGGAUCGCUACUGGAUUAGUAAGUAAGAUAACUAGCUAUUUAGGUUAAAAGCCUAAAUAUAUUAUUUAGUGGGAGGCUCCAUUAAUAUGCUUGAGUGUAAGGGGCCUUGUGUUAUUUUACAAGGUGGACUCCUAUAACACAAGAACAAGUAACGUGACUUUUGUUUUAAUUAUUUUUUAAUUUAAAUCACAUGGGAUUUAAUAGAAUUAAUAAAUAAAUAAAUAUGGAGCCUAGGGUUUCCACUAAAUAGAGAUAUAAAAAAACUUAUUUUCUUUAAAGAAAAUAGACAGAGGCCACAUUAUACAAAUCAGAGAAAAAGAUUUUCUCUCUAAUUUUGAGAGAAAAAUGUUCUCGUGCUAGUUGCUUUAGUGGUGAUAAAGGCGCUCACACAUCAAGUGUAGAUCAAACUUGAGUCAUAGUCUGGAAGAUUAUUUGGUGGCGGAUCGUGAUCUAACAUGAGUAGUGGUGACAGAUCGUGGUCUGGGAGCCUAAAUCACUUUAGUGAAAAAAAAAAAAGAUUGUUCAUCUUCUCAAAUUUUCAAGGUACGAUUUCUAGAUUACAAAUUUUUAUAUAUUGUAUGAGAUCGAUCCUAAAAGUUUUUUUUAAAAAAAAAAAACUGAUUUUUUCCACAACAAUAAUUAGCCACCGGUGUCUCGUCUGUCCAUGUGAGUUUUUACUUGUUUAAUUUGCUUGUGGGAAGUUUAUGUAAUCAAAGAACAAGUUGUGAUUGUGUUUUGUUGCGUUGCUAGUGGUUCAGUAAUUGGGACUACUUUGAUUAUGUUUUGGCAAUAGAUUUUGCUAGUUUACUAGUGCUUCAGUAGGAUUUUUCUUUUUUUUAAUUAUUAACUUAUGCAUCUAUUGAAAUCUGAACUCAAAACUUAAGCCCCAAAGAAAUUGCUUGUUACCGUUGGAAUUAGACUUGACUUUCGUAGUUUAUUAAUCAACUUGCUUGCUAGGUAGGCUUGCAUAUGAUAUGGUUUGCUAUCUUAUGGGUGGUGAUGUUUCCCUUGCAAUACCCCUCGCAUCUGUGUAAGGACAUCCAUCUAAUUUUGUUGAUAUUUUUGGAAGUUAAACUUUCAUCCUUAAUUUGAAUGAUUAAAAGAUAAUAUAUAAUUUUAGCCGCGGUUGAUUCAAAAAGGGUAGAUUUAAAAGAGAGAUUGAUUCAAAAAGAUUAAAUUAAACGUUCAAAAAAAUUUAUAAAAAAUGCAAGAUAUCCGCAAACUGUCUAAAAUACUAUCCUUUAAUCAAUAAUAUUUUAAAUAAGGAGAUUAUGGGUGGACCAAAAAUCCAUGUACCAAGCCCAAGCAAACGCGCAGAUUUAACAACCAGUUUGGACGUUACCAAAUUAUUUAUAGGUUUGGGUUCGGUUACAAAAACUCAACCACAAAAAUAAAUUUAUGUUCACUUAAAUUUCUACAAAAAUCUUCUAAAACCCCUUUAUAAUUGUCUCCUUCUUUAAAAUUACCGUCUAGGACAAAAUUAUAUCUCAUUAAACCCACCGUAAACAAUUCUUUCACGGACAAUUUUUCUCCUGUACGUAUGUACUUCUGUUAUCUUAGAGUUUAUACGAAAAUUAUUGAAACCUCAAAAUACAACUACAGAAAAAUCUCAAAAGCCGGUAACAACCCUGUUAAAAAUCAAAAUAAUGAUCAUGUUAGAAGACCAUUCCCUGUCAAAUUCCAUUGAAAAUUGAGUGCAUAUAUGACCUAGGCAAAAUAGAGAAAAAAAAAAAAUCAGUUUCAGCUUUAAAAUUGUUGUAAACUGGGUAGUCAGAGGAGUGCCAAUAGUCCAACUCAGUUCAAAUUCAUUUAGAUCUGAGAUGAAGAAAUAAACACCACAAAAUAAACUUAAAUGUUGAAAACUAAUUCUAACCCAACCUGAAUAGAUUUUUAUUGGAAGUUUUUGGUUUAAGUUACUCAAUAGUUUUAGAGUGGAGCUUCUAACAUCCCAUUAAAACUCAUAAGAAACACUACUUAUUCAUUUUUAUAUCUCUUUUUUUAUGAAAUUACAAAAAAAGUCCAUAAAAUUACAAUAGAGUUUUAAUUAAACUUCACUAUCAUUUUAGACAUACUUUUUCAUAAUAAAAUAUUAUUAUUAAGUAAUUUAUUUCCUCAUUAUCUCAAAAUUAUUUUUGACUUUAUCAAACAAAUAAGGUUAAAAAAAUAGUUAGGGGUUUAUGAUUUAUAAAGACAUUUUAGUUUAAUUAAAUUCGUAAUUUUUUUCUUUCGGUAAUUUCGAAGAAUAUUAAAGGGGUGUGAAAAACAGUACUCAUAAUUGAAUUAGAUCAAAACUUUCUCAACCCAAAUACGUUUGGAUUUGAUUGGGUUAAUCCCAACAUUCACUCACCCCUAAAAUGGCUUUAUAUAUAGCCAUUAUUAUGAAAAAUAUAAUCAUAGCGUCAACUCUUAAGUAAACUUUUCGGUUGAGAGAGGCGUAGAUCACUCAACAUGUAUUAGUAGUCAAAAUUAGAAGAGGAACUUUAUCUAGAUUACUACAUUUACCAAAUAAUUGUUAUAAGUGAAUAUGAAAUAGUUCACUCAAAGCAAGGAUAAAUGGAUGAAAGUACUACACAUUUUAUUCACAAUGAGGUUGCCUUUUAUAGGCGUUACAUGAACAAACUUAACGAAAUAAUAGCAGCCAUUAUUCAGCAAAUACUGCAGCUACUUUCCAGUAACUAUAGCCUAAAGACUAGGUAAACACAAUCUUGCAAAUAACAUUACCAACAAACUUCCUAAAGACUAGGACCAUAAAAGCAACUUAUUGACACAAGGAAAUUCCAACAAUCCCUCCCUUAAACUAAAUGUUAUUAACAUUCAGUUUAAACAUUCUGCAGAAUCUUCCUCAAAUUGCAAUUUGCAAACUCCAAGUGACUUUCCCAGCUUCAAAAAACUAGCCAAUUUGAGGGGUUUAGUAAAGAUGUCAGCAACUUGGUCUUCACUCCUGCAAUAAACAAGAUCAAUGACUUCAUUUUUUGUCAAGUCUCGCAAGAAAUGGUAUCUCACAUCUAUGUGCUUUCAUCUUCCAUGUAGAACCGGAUUCUUUGAAAGUUUAAUUGUUGAACUAUUAUCACAGAAGAUUUGUGUUGACUCUGGUUGCUUAAACUGAAGUUCAUGAAGAAUAUUUCUCAGCCAAAGUGCUUGACAUGCACAAGAAGCUGCUGCAACAAACUCAGCCUCAGUUGUUGACAAAGUAACUAUCGGUUGCUUCUUAGAUGACCAUGAAAUAGCUGCUGAACCAAACAUAAAUCAUAUCCAGAUGUGCUUCUUCUGUCAUCCAAAUCUCCAGCAUAAUCACUGUCUGUAAAGCCAUACCAAUCUGAUUUUUUACCCUUUUUGUAGAACAACCCAAAUUCAGCAGUACCACGCAAGUAUUGAAGAAUUCUCUUUGCAGCUAAAAGAUGAUCCUCUCUUGGACACUCCAUAUAUCUGCUGAUGGAACUAACUGCAUGCAUUAUAUCAGGUCGAGUUGUUGUUAAGUACAUCAAGCUUCCAACAAUCUGUUUUUAAAGGGUUGAUCACUUGACUCCUAUUGUCCUUUGCCCCAUUGGAAGUUCAGUCAACUCCCAAGUAUUAUUUUUUUCAAUGGAUGCAAUUUCUUCGUCCAUGGCUUUUAGCCAUUUUUGUUCUUUGACAGCUUCUUUAAAAGUUGUAGGAUCACAUUCUGAAAACAAGGCAAAGUGUAUGAGUGGAUUCUCAAGAGUGUUAAAUCAUGUUACCUCAUAAUCUGACAUCCAUGCAGACCUUAUUCUAUCAUGUUGAGAACGUGAAUCUGUAGCUUCAACUUGUUCAUCAAGUUCAUUUGUUGCUGGUGGAGUUUCUGCUGAGACUCUAUUUUGCGGCAGGUUAGGAGCAGAGACUGUUGAAGGCUGAAGUUGCUGUGAAUUUUCUUCAAUUUCACCAUUGAAAUCUGCUGGAAUUUGCUGCCCAACAGAAUUGCAUCUCCACAUCCAUGUCUUCUCUUCAUAAAAAAUGACAUCACGACUAAUGACAAUUUUCUUGAUGAUGGGAUCAUAUAAUUUGUAGGCCUUUGAAUGAUCACUAACACCAAGAAAAAUGCACUUUACACCUUUGUCAUCUAAUUUUCUUCUGUUCUCAUCUAGUACGUGGACAUAUGCUAUAAAUCCAAAUACCCGAAAAUGAUCUACUGCCGGCUUACAUCCACUCCAUGCUUCUUCAGGAGUUAUAUUUUGAACAACUAUUGUGGGGCUUCUGUUCAAAAUAUAAACACUCCAAACAACUGCUUCAGGCCAAAAACUUUUGGGAAGACCACUCCUCUGCAGAAGGCUUCGUACCAUAUUAAGAAUUGUACGAUUUUCCUCUCGCAUACACCAUUUUGCUGAGGUGUGUAGGCUGCUAUCAAUUGUCUUCUAAUUCCAUGAUUUUCACAGAAGCUUCCAAAUUCUUGAGAGUUGAACUCUCCACCACGAUCAGUACGCAAUAUUUUAAUUUGGCUGUCAGCUUCUCUUUCAACUAGUGCUUUAAACAUUUGAAAGGCUGUGAAAGCUUCCGAUUUUUCUUGCAAGAAAUAAAUCUAGGUUUUUUGACUAAAAUCAUCAAUAAAUGAGAUAAAAUAUCAUUUACCUCCAUUUGAUGUUGGCUUGAUUGGCCCACAUAAGUCAGAAUGCACUAGCUCCAACACUUGCUUUGCCCUCCGGAGUUUUCCUUUUGGAAAAUUAUCUCGAUGUUGCUUACUGACAAUACACUCUUCGCAAAGCUGUGAAGGUUGCUCAAAUUGUGGAAGGCCUACCACCAUAUUUUUCUACUGCAAGGUCUUCAAUCCACCAAAGCUAAGAUGCCCGUAACGAAAGUGCCAUAACCAUGCUGUAUCUUUGAAAUUUGCAGCAAAACAUGAGUGUGCAGUAUGGUGAAGAUACAAUGGAAACAUUCUGUUUGUCGUCAUUUCACUUGAGCAAUUAAGCCCAAUUUUUCAUCGUGGAUUCGGCAAACUCCUUCCUUGAUAGAGAUCUCAUACCCUUUUUUCUUGUAACUGGUUGUAAAGAUGAAAGAGUUGUUUGGUUGCAGAGAAAACAAACGAGAAAACAGAGAGAGAAUUUGUAUUUAUCUUAAGCUCAAAUAAGCUGAAUUACAAGCAUAUAUACAUAAUGCUGAAUGGAAUCUUAUAUACUCUGCAUGUGAGUAAUGUGUUUAUUUGAGCUAACAACCAUAACAGAUUUAACUGACUGGACUGCCGCAUCAGCACUAAUAACAGAUUCACUUAACUAACUAAACAGAAAGCUAAAUGUAAUUAACAAUUCAAAUAUCUUAACACUGGCCAACACUGAGAAGGUUAGUUUUCAGUUCAGGAACGAAUAAAACAUUUGAGAUAGAAUGAGAACUUUCCUUGGUUUGGAUUGCAGCCCUUCCUUUCCCCAUGACAGAAAUUGUAGAGUCAUCACCAAAUUUUACAGUAUUUCGAAAAGUCUCAUCCAAGUCAGAAAAAGUAGAUUUAUCCCCACAAAUAUGAUUGCUACAACCGGUAUCUAAGUACCAUAGAUUUUGGUGACUUUCCUCCUUUGUAUGACAUGCCAUAAGAAGGGAAAUUUCUUCUUCCUCCUUUUCUACAAAGUUAGAUUUCUCGCCACGAUUCUUAUUUAAAUUAGUACAGCACUCAUUGUGGUAAUGACCGUACUUCUGACAACGGAAGCAUUUAACAUUCGAUUUGUCUUUAGACUUUGGUUUAUGUCCUGUCGAAUUCUGACCAUCACAAUCCUUUCCUUUUCCUUAAGAAUCAUCAACAUUUUCUUCUUAUUUAUCCUACCCAUUCUUGCCUUUCCAGCCUCCUUUACCCCCUCCAGUUGGUUUGAGAUUUGCUGCUGCCUGUAAUGCAUGUUCUUCCUUAUCCUGUCGGAUUACUUUCUACUCAUGGACUAGCAAAGUGCUUUCCAAUUCAUCAAUCGAAAUUUUGUCAAUAUCCAUUGAUUCCUCAAUCGCACAAACAAUAUAGUUAAAUUUUACCGUUAAAGAUCGAAGAAUCUUCUCAAUUAUGAUAACAUCCUCGAGCUGCUCGCCAUGAAUUCGUCUCUUAUUUGCGAUUGCCAUUGUCCUUGCAAAGUAUGCUAAGACCGACUCUCCCAUCUUCAUUCGUAGAGAUUCAAAUUCAUAUCGAAGUGUCUGGAGGUGUACCCGAGAUAAAAAAGGAGGCUAGUAGUUUUCACAAGCAAAAGUUAAGAAUCGAUUUUAUUUUUUUCAGGCUGUGGAUUCAUUGCUUUACAAUUCUUUAUAUAGAACUAGGUUCUCAUGUUUUAGUUACAUCAAGACCUAGCAUCUACGGCUAUCAAUUUCAUCACAAGACAUUACAAAAGUUGUUAUAACAACCUGACACUGCAGUUUGUCUUCUUGUCUUCAGUUGCUCAGUCUUGUCUUUAGCAAGCUGUGAUAUCUUGCUCCUUCAGCUUGAUUACCAUCCAAUCCUGACCUUUGAUGCUUCUAGCCAUCCAACGACUAAUAUUCAAACAUCAGAUGGCUUGCUUAAUUCAAGAGAUUCAUGAGUUCCCGCCAAUGCCUUCAUUGAGGUAUAUUAUCAAACAAUUGUGCAGCAACCUCAGACACAUUUAUUUUAACUCCCCCUCUCAAGCUCAAUCGUCUGCUAAGACAUUGAGCUUGCUUCUUAGGUAUUCGAAACUUCGAUUAAGUAGUGCCUUGGUCAUUAUAUCUGCAACUUGGUUCUUGCUUUCCACAUACUUCAAAUCAAACUCUCGGUUGCUGAUUUUAUUCCUCACGAAGUGAACAUCUAUUUCAAUGUGUUUGGUUCUUCCAUGAAAGACUGGAUUUUCAGCAAGAGCUAUUGCACUCUUGUUGUCACACCAUAGUAUUGGCCUCUUCUCCAACUUGAUGUUCAUCUCUGCAAGUAAGGAUUGUAACCAAGUCAAUUUAGCUGCUCCAUUUGACAGUGAUCUAUAUUCUGCUUCUGUGCUGGAGGUUGAUACUACAUUCUGCUUCUUUGAACUCCACGAGACUAGAUUUCCUACCAAAAACAUGCAAUAACCACCUGUAGACUUUCUGUCAUCUCUAUCAGCUCCCCAAUCGGCAUCUGUGAAGGCUGAGAUUUCCAUUUUGUUUCCAGAUGUGAAGUACAGACCAUAAUUUAGGGUGCCUUGAAGGUAUCUCAAGAUCCUUUUGCAGCCUUGCCAGUGUAUCACUUUCCGUUCUUGCAUGAAUUGACUUAGUUUAUUUACGCUGUAAGCAAUGUCUGGUCGGGUGAUGGUUGCAUACUGCAAAGCUCCAAUGACACUUCUGUAGAGAGUUUUGUCUUCAAAAAACUGUCCUCCCUCUUCUUCUUCAGUCUCCAAGGUGUACUUCACACUUGAACUUAAUGGGGUUAUGCUUUCUCUGCACCCUUUCAUGUUUGUCUUCUCUAGAAGUUCUUGCACAUAUUUGCUUUGGCAAAUAUACAUCCCUGCACGAUCCCUUUUUACUUCAAUUCCAAGAAAAUAACUUAAUGAGCCUAGCUCCUUCAACGCGAAACUCUCAUUAAGCUUUUUAAUCAGGUCAUUGACAAGAUCUUGGCUACUACCAGUUAUGAGUAUGUCAUCUACAUACACAAGUACGUAUAUAACUUUUCUAUUAUCCCUCCAAUGAAACAGUGAGGUAUCCGAGACUGAGUUCUUGUAUCCCCAGCUAAGUAGGGCAGCUUUGAGCUUUUCAUACCAAGCCCUUGGAGCUUGUUUCAGUCCAUAUAAUGCUUUCUUUAGUCUAUAUACAUAGUUUUCCUUUCCUUUCACUUUGAAUCCUUCUGGUUGCUCCAUGAACACGGUUUCAUUUAGUUCUCCAUUUAAAAAGGCAUUGUUGACAUCUACUUGUUUGAUGUCCCAACCAUAGAUGACAGCCAAACUCAAGAGUACCUUGAUUGUGGAUGACUUGGCCACUGGACUGAAGGUUUCUGUGUAAUCAACCCCCGCUGUUUGGUUAUAGCCUUUUGCCACUAAUCUCGCCUUGUGUCUCGCUACUGUCCCAUAUGGAUUGUGCUUUACUUUGUAGACCCAUUUUUUUCCGAUGACCUUUGUACCCUCUUGAACUUUCACCAAUUCCCAAGUGUUGUUUUCCAGUAGAGCUUUGUAUUCAUCCAACAUAGCAUUUCUCCAUUUCACAUUCUUGAUAGCACUUGCUAUAUUUGUUGGUAACUCAUACGAACUCCUUUGUGCAAGGUAUAUUUUAGGCUUGUAGAUUCCAUGUUUGGAUCUGGUUACCAUAAGGUGUGUGUUUAAUGGUUCUAAUGGUCGCUCAGGUUCUAUAUUGACUCUCUCUUGUUGAUGGUUUGGCUCAGGUCGGCUCUCAUCCAAUUGUGUUUCUGUGUUUGGUUGAUGUGUUUGGAUCUGGUCUUCGUUUGGUGUUCUGAUUUGAUUUUCGAAUGAUGCUUGCAUUGUAUCUUGUGUGGAGUUAUGUCCACCCUCUUUGGAUUUUUUGUAUGGAUUGCUGUUUAAUUGUGGAGUUGAGAAAGUGCCACAAGGAAGUAAUAGAAGCUGCUGAUAGUUAGGUUGACUACUUGUCCUGCUUUCACUUUUGUUAGUCUCAAAGUUCUUAUCUAUAACAAAAGGAAACUCAUUCUCAUUGAAAAUCACAUGUCUAGCUACAUAAACUAUGCCUGUGUUAUCUAGACAUUUGUAUCCUUUGUGCUGUAAGCUAUACCCUAUAAACACACAUUUAGUGGUGUGGUACUGAAGUUUAUGUUGAUUAUAGGGUCUUAAAUAUGGAAAACAGGCACACCCAAAAGUUUUUAGGAAGGCAUAAUCAGGCUCAUUGUUGUAAAGUUUUUUGUAUGGACUGAUAUGACCUAGGGCCUGCGUAGGCAUUCUAUUGAUAAGAUAUGCAGCAGUUUCAAAGGCGUUCCACCACAGUUUUAAGGGCAUGUUUGCUUGUGCUAGCAUGGUGAGUGCUGUUUCUACAAUGUGCCUAUGCUUCCUUUCAACUUGACCAUUUUGUAUUGACGUAUAUGGACAGGAAUGUCGGAACAUGAUUCCAUUGUUCCUAAGAAACUUGGUUAAUGGUCUAAAUUCUCCCCCCAUAUCAGUCUGUAGACACUUGAUUUGUUUAUUUAAUGUUUUCUCUAUUUGAUUCUUGAAGUCAAUGAAGGUUUGUGCUGUUUCUGCUUUGCUGGUUAAGGGGUAAAUCCAUGUGUAUCUUGUGUGAUUAUCAACAAUACUUAAGUAGUACCUGUAACAUUUUCCUGAAAUUAUAGGUGCUGGACCCCAAAGAUCUGCAUGGAUCAGUUCAGGGGGCUGCUUUGUCUGUGUUUGUGAGCUUUUAAGAGUCAAUUUGUGAUUUUUACCAUAUUGGCAUGCAGUGCAGAAACUCAAAGAUUUUUCUUUAUUGAAAUCAGAUAAAUUUUUACAACUUGAAAUGAUUUUCAUAAGGGUCUGUUCACAAGGGUGACCAAACCUUCUGUGUAACAGGUGAAGUUGAUUAAUUGACUCACUACUAUGCUUAGGACUUAAAGACUCAUCAACACUUUCUGAGACAGAAGCCUCACUUAUUGAAGCAAACAAAGACUCUGAUUUGUAGACUCUAUCAGCAGCACAUCCCUUCCUUGGACUUACAUAUUCUUGACUUCCAACAAUCUGAAACAGCCCUCCUAUAUCAAUUCCUUGAAGAAGAACAUUCUCCAAUUUGUCCUUAACAACACAAGUUUCAUCAGAAAAUACAAUUGUUAGUUUGUUAUCUAUUGUAAGGCUAGAGAUACUUAGCAGGUUUUUGGUUAUUUGUGGAACUACAAGUACCCUUUUAAGCACAAGAUGUUCAUAUUUGUUACCAGCAUAUAUAGGCAAAAGUAUCGUUCCUGUGUGUGUGAUUUUAAGCUUGUGUCCAUUUCUCAUUAAGAGAAAGGAGUUACCUUUGUACUCAGACCUUACACUGAGGUUGUUGAGGUCAUUUGUGACAUGAUUAGUUGCUCCACUGUCUAAGUACCAGCCUGGUUCACUGCUUCCAUCAUUUGUUGCCAGAAAGGCUCCUCUUGGUUGACAAUUCUGAGGCUUUGGUUCAAAGUCAUCUUCUUUUCUGUACCAACACUCAUCAGCUGUAUGGCCCUCUUUGUGGCAGAUUUGACAAAAAACUCCAGGCUUGAAUACCGUCUUCUUUUCUCCAUGUGGUCUCCCUCUUCCUUUUCCUUUAUUUGGUCUUCCAGCACCAUUGUUGAGAGGUCCAAAGUAUUGAUUUUGUGGACUAAGGUACUGGUUUGGUGGUUGGUUCCUUGGUCUCUCAUUCCUCUUUUGGGUCCAGUUGUUCCUUCCUUGCCUUGAGGCCACAUUUGCUUCGAAAUUGUUGUCAUGAGUUGCAUUCUGCUCCAGUCUGGCUUCAUGGUUCAACAACACAGAAUACAUUUCAUCAAAGGUCAGUUCAUGAAGUCUUGAAGUGAGGUUAACAACAACGGACUCAAAAGAUUGGCCAAGACCAGUAAGCACAUGAGAACAAAGAUCUUCUUCUGAAACUGGCUUUCCUGCCAUUUGCAACUCAUUUGCCAAGUUUCUUACUUUUGUGCAAAACUCAGUGAUAGUUUGUGUGUCUUUUCUUGCACCAUGCAAUUGCAUUUUGAGAACUAUGGAUCUGGCUAUUGAUUGGGAGGCAUAAAGCCUUUCCAGCACAGACCACAGUUCUUGUGAAGUUGUGCAAUGUGUCACAGCAGUGAUAAUAUUCUCUGAUAUUGUAGAAAGAAGCCAACUUAAGAGAAGUUGGUCUUGUCUACGCCAGAGUGCAUAUGCAGGGUUUGCAGAUGCUAUGAAGUUGUUUUCUGCAUCAGCAUCCACUAGGAACUUUUCUGGACAUACAGAUGUUCCAUCAAUGAAGUUUUCCAGGCCAUUGCCACGGAUAGCAGGCAAGACCUGGGCUUUCCAUAUAAUGUAAUUUCCUCUGUCAAGUUUCAAAGGGGCUGUGAAGGAAAAACUUAUGGGUACAUGCAUAUUUGUGUGUGAGGAUGAUGAUUCAGUUUGUGUUUGGGUGGGUAAAGGACUUUGUGUUUGAGCUGGUGGUGUGUUGUUGAUCACAGCUUCUAGGGUUGGCUCAUUUGUUGCUUGAUUAUCCAUUUCUGGAUUUUUAAAGCUCUGAUACCAAGAUAAAAAAGGAGGCUAGUAGUUUUCACAAGCAAAAGUUAAGAAUCGAUUUUAUUUUUUUCAGCCUGUGGAUUCAUUGCUUUACAAUUCUUUAUAUAGAACUAGGUUCUCAUGUUUUAGUUACAUCAAGACCUAGCAUCAACGGCUAUCAAUUUCAUCACAAGACAUUACAAAAGUUGUUAUAACAACCUGACACUGCAGUUUGUCUUCUUGUCUUCAGUUGCUCAGUCUUGUCUUUAGCAAGUUGUGAUAUCUUGCUCCUUCAGCUUGAUUACCAUCCAAUCUUGACCUUUGAUGCUUCUAGCCAUCCAACGACUAAUAUUCAAACAUCAGAUGGCUUGCUUAAUUCAAGAGAUUCAUGAGUUCCCGCCAAUGCCUUCAUUGAGGUAUAUUAUCAAACAAUUGUGCAGCAACCUCAGACACAUUUAUUUUAACUACCCGCUUCGCCCUUGCUGUCCCUUGGUACUUCUUUUUCAAGGAAUCCCAAAUUUGUUUGGAGGAGUCUUUGUUAAGAAUUGUUUCCAAGAUUGAGCGAUCAAUAGCUUGGAAUAAGUAAUUCUUUGCCUUGAGAUCCUUUAAUCAUUGCCCUUCAAGCUCUAUUUUCUGAGCAUCCGUCAAAACAACACCGGCUGGUGGUUCAGUUAUUCCAAUUGAAACAACUUGCCAAUACUCCUUGGACCUUAAGAAAUUCUCCAUCAACAUGCUCCAAUGGUCAUAGUGACCAUCAAAGCGGGGAAUUGCAGGUUGAACAAAAUUCUCAGAAGCCAUGAAUUUCUACUGCUGCAACACGAGUGCAAAAAGAGCCAAGUAAGCUACUAUUACUAACUCUGUCAAUCCACUUUUCUAAUUCAAGCUCUGAUACCACUGUUAUAAGUGAAUAUGAAAUAGUUCACUCAAAGCAAGGAUAAAUGGAUGAAAGUACUACACAUUUUAUUCACAAUGAGGUUGCCUUUUAUAGGCGUUACAUGAACAAACUUAACAAAAUAAUAGCAGCCAUUAUUCAGCAAAUACUGCAGCUACUUUCCAGUAACUAUAGCCUAAAGACUAGGUAAACACAAUCUUGCAAAUAACAUUACCAACAAACUUCCUAAAGACUAAGACCAUAAAAGCAACUUAUUCACACAAGGAAAUUCCAACAAUAAUAUUAUAAAAUGUAAAAGUUUUAAUGGGGUGUAUUAAACGGGGUGUACCCCAUCACUAUCUUAAGAAUGGUGAUUUUGAUGAUUUGAUCCCUUAUUAUAUCUCACAAGCCCCCCAUUUUUUAGUUAAUUCCAUUAAAAAUUUUAAACAAAUUUUUAUCUCUCAAUAUACCUUACCUAAUCUCUAAUUUACCUUUAUUUUAAUUUUUUUUCAUACACCCAUUGUAUAAAUUUUAUAAAAUCAUUUCUUAAAAAAAAAUCUCAUAAUGAUUGUAAUUUCUCAACUUUUUUUUAAGGUUUUAUCCACCACUUAAGAUUUGAUAGUUCCACCAAGAAUUGGAGCAAAGAACCAUGCCGAGUCGACCCUGAAUAACCUUAGUAUCGUGCUAAGCCUAUCAAGCCAAAGUUGAGUGAAGGAAUACAAGAAUUUGGCCAAGGUGUUUGACGUGAUAAAGAUACAGAUUUUUUAUUAUUAUAAUUGAUUUGGAGCUAAAAAGGGGAUUCUCGAUUUCCUUUUGUAUGCAUCCCAAUCUUGUAUUCAAGUUUAUUUGUUCAUGGACCAGAAUGCAUUGCAUUUGGAAAGUGUUUGCAAUUGUACAGUGAUAUUACUUGGACAGUAAUUUGGCGUUGCAAUGCAUUUACAAAACGAAUGAAAAUUUGGAAUCGCGAUGGAAAAUACUGUCAGGUAUCUAUCUGAGAAUGAAAGCACUCGCUGUCAGUCUCUAUGGGAUUGCAGUAUAAAAUUUUACAUUGUUCUUCAAUAUUUUGAAUAGAAUGUCUUACUUUGAAUGGAAUGGCGCAGUUUAAAAAAUUAGAAGAAAUUAGAGUUUAAGAAAUUAGAUUCGCUUAAUUAGUUAUUAAUAGAAAUUUUUAUGUCGGUGCACUUAAAAAUUAUUUAUUAUUUUAAGUUAUUUCACAUGAGAAUAAAAUAGGUAUUAACAUAAAAGUUAUUAGUGUGGGUUGAUAAGAUAUAAUAAGAGAUUUAAACAUCACCACUCUACUUAUAGAGCAGCUCCAAAAACGAUCUCAUUGGUCGAAAAAGGCUUGACCCAUUGAACGAGGACCCUUAAAAUUUGAUCCUAGCUUGACCCAUACGACAGGCUGAACAGGUCGGUCCUUUACACAAUCAAAACAAACUUGUGAGUAGGGGUGGGCAAAUAACCCAAUCUGAUUCGACCAAAAAACUUGAGUUCAGAUCGGAUGUAGAUGAAUUUCUCAAUCCAAUUAGGUAGGAAUCUAUCCAAAUCGAUCCGAAAUUACACACAAUUAAAGAAUAUUAUUUGAAAUUUUUUAUCCAUUCCAAAUAUAAUUCGGAUUCAAUUAUAAGUCUGGAUUGAGCUUGGAUUACUUUUUUCCUAACUCGAUUAACCGGAACUCGAACCCGAUCCGAAACCGAAUUUGCCGACCCCUACUUAUUAUCGUUUACACAUUACAUUUGUGACUAUCAUUUUUAAACUAAAAUUUUCUCUUGAUGCGAAUAAGAAAAAAAAAUACAUAGAGUAAAUUUCGUUUAAAAAAUGAGGCACCAUAGAUGGACCGUACAUAUGGUACAGCUAGCUGAAAUGGAAGUAGCCUUGUGAGUUGUGAGAGCUGCCUAUUUUGGAUUCAGGACGAAAUAUUUAAGAAGCAAGCAAGUAAAUAAAUCAAGAAAAUAAUAUUCCGCCACCCUCAUUCCAGAGGGAAGCCAAAAACGACAUGCUUUUGUGCCGUUUUGAAGUUUUAGAUUUGAAAAUUAAAAAUAAAUUUUACCAUUAAAAAAUAAUAAAAGCUAAUCAAAAGAAAUUAAAAAAUCUAAAUUCUUAUCCCUCCCCUCGCUCACCCCCUCUCUCUUUGACUCACCCCGCUCUGUCCCUCUCACUCUCACCCACGAAGCUCGUUCCCCUCUCACUCACCCACAAGCUCACUGUCAAUAUUUUUCUCAGAUCUCAGCUAACGCAUCAUCAAAACCGCAACCAUGACGCUAGGCUGAGGAGGAUCCAGUGUCGUGGGUCAGUUUCUUCUCUGAUCUUGCCAUUUUUUGUUCAAUCUAUUUAUGCCCUGGAUUGAUUUAUUCUCUUUGUUUUGUUGUGUUUCUUGUUCUGGCAAAAUCUAUUUGUCUAAUUCACAUACGGGUCGUAGCCGUUGCUUUUAUUAUUUUAUAAUUUUUUUUGGGUAGUUUUGUGUAGUCUUAUGAACAUUCUUUUUGGCAUAAAUGCAUCUGGGUUGCUACGUGCCUACGUUUGAUUGUUAAUUAGACCUGAUCCGUAAUUCUAUGCGUUUUUUGAAUUUUUGAUUGCGAAAUUAAGUUAAUUUAGUUUAAUAUGAUUACAUUAUUGUCACCUAAAAUUAGUAUAUUUAAUCAGUUAAAGAAAUUCUUUUGACAUGGACUUUAAUGAAACCUUGUAUGUGAUACUUUGCUUAGCAAAGUACUUGGAUUUUGGAUUUUUUUUCUAUUUAUAUUUUAAAAUUACUAGAAAUAAGUUAUUUGAAGUGUGAUACUUUGUGAAAUGUUAAAGCUUACGGUUUGGUUGUAAUUCUGUUUUUGCUUAUAUAUGUUUACGUCUGUUGGCAUUCUUUUUUUUUUUUUUUUUGGUAUUUGAAGUUUGCAUAUAUGGUGUGUAUUAAGAUUUUCAAGUGGUUCUUCAAACAUAUUCUGGGUAGUUUGAUAUAUCCAUGUUUCUGUGAAUUCUUUAGUUGAGGCAAUUGUUUUUGGUCUUAGCUGCAUUGUUAAGUUCUUUACCACAUAGAAUUCCCUAAUUUUCUUCUGCUAAUCCAGUAAUUGCAGCUUCAUUCUAAGGUUCUUCAUUUUCUAUAAAGCAUAUAUUGCUUCAUUAACCCUCCUCUAAAUAUGUUGCAAAUAUGUAUUUGAUUCAUUCCAAUCUUACAGAUCAUUGUUGGAUGCCGAAUCAGCAUACAAUGCUUACAAUUAUGAGAGAAAAAUGAACAACCAAUUGCCCAGUUCAGUUACGCUUUAAGCUAGGAAGAUUGACGUAGAAACAUUUGUUUAAGUGUAAUUACCUAGGUAGGUGAAAAAGGUCCAAAAUCGUCAAGCACACUGUCAACUAAGGCUGGUCGGCGACGUGAACGGCGUGAUAGCGAUGUCGGUGAUGGGCUGGUCGGCGAUGGGCGUGGCGUGACAACAAGUUUCGUGGGUGAGUGACAGCCUGAGAGAAAUAGCUCGCAAGUGGGUGAGUGAGAGAGACAGAUCGGGUGAGUGAGAGGGAAGGUGAAUGAGAGAGAGACAGAGCAAGCGAGUGAGAUGGAUGGGUAAGAAUUUUGGAUUUUUCAUAUUCUUUAGAUUUAAUUUUAAUAUUUUUCAAUGGUAAAAUCUAUUUUUAAUUUUCAAAUUUAAAACUUCGAAACGGCAGAGGAAGCAUGCGUUUCUGGCUUCGUUAUGGUCUCGUGGUGGCCGAAUAUCAUUGCCCAAUAAAUCAUGAUUCUUCGAGAGACCCAGCAACCGCUUGUGAAAACACAAUGGUUAUUCCUAAAGCCAAGCAACUCUCAGCACGAAAAAGUGUUAAGUGGCCAACAACUCCUAACAACCCUUAGACUAAGUCCAGCACUUACCAUACUAUGUCCUAUAUAAUUGAAACGUAAAUAGAUUAUUGACAGCAAAACAAAAUAAUAACUUAAUAUAAUGACGUGUAACAAUGUACAUUUUUGUCAAUUAUGCGUUAGUGUUUGAUGCCCUUCUUUCAAAAAUAAAUAAAAAUUGAUGCAUAUGUACCGCAAUGUCAGUUCUGAGGGAGCUGUGACGAGUAAUGAUUAAAAUAUACAAGUGAUGAAAUUUUGAAUUAUGAUAUAAAUGCAUAAAUGGCAUAAUAUUAAUUAUUAAAUAUAGCAAGUAAAUUUUGAUGCCAUCAUUUUAAAAAAUUAACAAAAAAAUAAACAAAUUGAUAUUCAUGUGCAUGUCUAAUGUUUUAUUUAUAUAAGAUUAAAAUUCUCUUUUCAUCUGGGUUUUUAUUUGAGCAAAUACAAUUAUUGGUAGUUAGCAUAUAGAAGCACAAUUAAAAAGUAUAUCUCGACCGUGCUCAUGUACAUGUCGAAAGAAUUAAAGAAAAGGAGCUCUCUAGAUUCUGUUUGUUUGAUAAGAAAAUGAAUGGAAAAUUUUAUUGAUUCAAAGAGAAAAUUUGUUCGCUGGAUUCUUAUUUGUAAGUCUUACUAAUGAAUUGAGAGUACAUUGAUAAAUAUAGCUGUGUGUGGAAACUUCUACUGCAACAAACUCGUGUCCACAUUUCCAGCGCGCUAACUAUAACAACCUACUGACUAAGUUUGGAAGGAAAUAACAACUUGUUUAACUGUUUUACAACUUGGCUGCUGACUCAUCAUUACACUGAAAACCCCAGCUGACUUCAACUGCUGACUUAGCAUUUAUUCUUAACAGAAAGAUAAUGAUAAAAAAGUUGCUUCAGAAUUCGUGGGCACGCACGGACCCUACUUGUAGAACUCCAUAACCCAUAAGUUGUAAAAAAAGCAUACAAAUCUGAUGCCACUAAAUCCAGCUUCAGUAGCCAAGGUCGUGAAUUCAUGCUUUGUUCGCUCCUUUCCUCCCGGAUAUUGAGUCAUCACCAGCACAUCAGCUAGGGAAUUUAUUUUUGAAUGAGUGCUAGUCUCAGGCAGUUCUGGAAGUACUGACUCCACAACAAUUACCUUCCCUCCUUCGGGAAUACUUUUGUAGCAAUUCUUCAAUAACUUCAAGCAAUGUUCAUCGCUCCAAUCGUGCAGUAUCCACUACAAAAUUUGAAAUAUUAUGAAAUUUGUUCAGGGAUCGAACGCCUAAUACCUGCAAAUUAAAUUCAAAUGAAACUUACCUUGAUCAAAAUGGCGUCGCCAUUUGGAACACUUUGAAACAUGUCACCCCCUACAUGCUUAACACCUGUACUACAUACAAUUUAGUUUCCGCUCUUAGGAUCUAGCGGUAUGGGCAGAGAAUUCAUAAGAGCACUGAUAUUCGCGAAAAGAAUUUAGAUAAAAUUCUGACAAAAACAACAAUAAAUCAACCCUGAUUUUUUCACUAAAUUGCAAAUAUGGUAAAUCGAGUCUGUUUUGAUGUUUUUUGUCAGUUUUUUCUUGUUGCAACAUUUUGUGCUUUUACCCUUUUUUUCCAAAUGAUAAUGUAUAUUUCUUCAUAACAAUGACAUUAAAAAAAAAAAAAAAAGAGAUUGGAAUCAAUUUUCUAAUUAACUUCCUACUUUCUCCAGGAUUUAUAUUGGGAUGAUUAAUUAAAGAAAGCUACUUAAAAGCCACUUGACCAAGUCCCUAACAUUAUUAUAAAGAUAAUUGAAAGUUCAUACCAGGAUACUCAGGGGAAUGCUGUAUAACGUGAGGCAAGUCGAAAUUGAUGCCCUUAAUGUGGGGAUACUUGGAAGUAAUUGCUUUAAGGGUAUUGCCAAGGGAACCGCCAACAUCAACCAAUUGCUUUAUGUGCUCGAAACCCUUGUAAGCCUCAAGGAUUUUUUGAAGGACCAAAGUGGUAUGGUUGAACAUCGCUGUGCUGAAAACUUCAUUGAACCUGGGGUCCAAUCCUAGGUACUCGAAAGCGUUCGUUCCGUGGACUCGGUCAAAUGGAACUCCUCCUUCAAUAAUAGUUUCUUUCAGUUGGGACCUACAUGACCAGUUAAUCAAUCAUCAUUUUGCGUUUGGCCGAACUUUUUUAGAUACAAUGAUUAGUGGUUGAUAAAAACAAAAAUAAUAAAGGGAUAUAUCUAUAUUAUAUAUAUGACGAUGUAAACGUUUCAUAAAAUCCCUUAACAGAUAAGAUGAGUAGAGGAUUCAUUGCCAUUAAAAAUUUUAUGUUAUAUCUUAACUCAUAACUGUCACAUACAUCUUUAUGAAAACGAGCAAAAAAAUGGGAAUCAGGGUAAUAUUAUCAUACGGGUGGGUUGCUAAAUUUUAGCAACGGCACAAAUUAGGAGAUAUGUAGUUUGUAGUACUUUUACAUAUAGCUAGCUCCUGCUGUUAUUUUGUUUUCCCUAAAAGAUUUUAUUUCUAAUUCUCUCCAGGCAAGUGAUCAUACCACCCCAAGUGAAUCUUUUAAUUCAGAGAAAUUCUACGGAAGAAGUUAAGAAAUUUUUGUUCUUCCAGGAUUUCUGUCAGAACGGAAGAAACUACUCAAUUAAUGCUUUCAAUAGAACAAAAUACAUUGUCUUUUUCAUAUAUGUUACACUCAUGUCCUCUAUAAUUAAAAGACAAAAAUACCUCCGAAAGAAAACAUAUUUCCUCAUAUCCUCUGUAGCUGCAAGUAAUUAAAACACCACCAACAAUAGUUUACCCGUUCUUGAAUUGAUAUGACUAGAAGUAUAUUAAUAAUGAUUUAUAAGUUUGAGAGUGAGCCUUCUACAUUUUAUCGCUCACUUAUAUGAACACGUUUGUUUUUCUUUUUCGAUGACCUGAAUUUAGAAAUAAGUUGAGUAUGAAGUCGAUUAUGAUUUAAGACUUGGGAGAAAUGCAUGAUUGGAUCUGAAGGCGUAGAAAGAGAAUUGUAUUAUAAACCCAUGUAUUUUUACCCUAACUUAAAAAAAGAAAAAUUCAGGGGAUUAAAAUGAUAGAGUGGACAAACCAGCUGUCGAGAAAGGCCUCGUCCUGAAUUAAGGCCAAUACAGGGCCUAAUGAGACACCAUCUUGAUUAGGCACAAAGUAUUUGGAAACAUCAUUCAAACCGUAUAGCCUGUGAGAACCAUCUACAUCAUCAAGUGAGCAUUCAACAAUACCAUAGCUAGCCAGAAGCCCGAGUAUCCGGUCCAGCAUCGUGGGUGCGUCUUUGUUCUUGGUGGCGGGCAACUGAGCGGCAAUCUCUGAAGCUGAGAGCUUUGCUCCAGGACCAGCUUUGGCUAUGAUCUCCAAAAGUCCCAGCUUAAUUACUGCUUUCAUGGUCAUGUGGAGCACUGAACCCGUCAUCACUUCACAGGCAUAUGCAAAGUUUUCGUCUCUCGCUUCAUUAGCCAUAUUUUCUUGAAUUUCCUUAUCUGUUUUCCUCAGAAACAAUGCAUUUAUAGUGGAGUGAAGAGUUACUGUGUGUCCAAGAUUUUAGGUUGUAAAAUCUGACCCGGAAGUUUUCGAUAGUUCAAGUUAGACUAAAUGACAGAAAUUAAAUUAUGAUUAUAACUUUUUCAAAGAUAAAAGUAUGGAAGCUUGGCAACUCUAAAAAAAUUAUAUUAUUAGGGAUAAAAACUUUAUUUAAUUUGCAUAAAUUGAAAUGACAUAUUGCAUGAUUCUACAUGUCUCGUAUUAUUUCUUUUAUUUUGUCGACUUUAAAAAAUCUGAAUGGCCAACCUCUUCGAAAAUGUAUUUAAUAGUUUUUUAUAGCGAUGUAUUGUUCAAUAGUUUUUUAUAGCGAUGUAUUGGAAGUAAUUUAAAAGAUCAAACAUUUCAAAUGAGAUCCUAUUAUCAAACAAGAGGAAUUCUAAAAUAUAUCGGAGGUAUUAUGUCAGUUACACAAUAAGUCAAUAAUAUUAUAGAAUGUGUGCAUUUAUUUGAAAAAUUACCAUGUAAGUGGUACUUAUAUUAAAUCCAAUUACACACGUCACAUAUACAUUGAUUAGUUGUAUUACCCCUGAUUUAUUCUAAAAUUUAUCGUCAAACAGAGAGCUUUUAGUUGAAAUGAGGAACUAUAAUUAUUUACUGACAUAAGUUUUUCCUUUGAUUAUAAUAUAUUAACAUUUCAUGUGAGGAAAUAUUAGUUUUACAUUUUUUUUCCUAUUAUAACAUGUUUUAAAAAAGGAUUAUAAUUCUUACUUAGUUUUUUUUUUCGCAUCUAGUCUUUUUUAGUGUUCCGAAUUUAGUGAAAAAAGGCAGCUUAAUUAUAAAUAAAGUGAAACAUUCUGGCUUAAUUGUUAACAUUAAAAUUUAAAAUUCAAUAUUAACCACUUAUUUCAUUAAAAGAGACUAAAAGAGAGAGAGAGAGAAGAUUCUUGUCCAAAAGAAAAAUAAAAUAAAGAAAAGCAAACGAAUACUUCACUUUCAUCGAAAUUUUCAAAUAUCAAUUUUUAUGACUUUAGGCCAAAUUUGCCAUGCAAAAUUGGAUUGGAUUAAUUAUUAGAAUAAGACUGAAUUAGAUUACUUGGAUAAAGUCGAAUUAUAUUAUACUGUCUUAUGUUUGGUGUAGUACGAGAUUGAACUAUGUUAAAUUAUAUUUCAAUGAUAUCAAAUAGCAUUUAAGUUGAUAUUUGAAUAUGAACAUCAGUUAUUCAUGAAAUUUUAUAACAAUAAGGAAACAAAUUUAAAAAGCAAUUAAUUAGAAAAUUAAGUAUAUUGUAAAUAAGUUAUUAGGUAGUCAUAAUAUAAUAAACAAAUGAAAAAGAAAUAAAAAUUUAAAAAUUUAAUUAAUUUUUAUCAAAUAUUUAAAAAAAAUUAUAUAAAAUCAAUUAAUUCUGGUAUUUUUAAUUUUCAUGAUUAUUUUUUAAUAUUAUAUUAGUGAUUAUUAAAUUUUAUACAAUCACUAAUGCAAUAAGUUAUUAAAUGGUUAAUUUAUAAAUUAUUAAAUAUACAAGUAAUGAAAAUUUAAUCUCAAGAGUUAUUAGAAGUAAAAUUGUCAAUUUAAUUAGAUCAUAUAUAAUAAAUAAAAAUCUUAAGUAAAUCAUAAAUAAAAAUUAAUUGAUUAAUUAAUAUUAACAGAUAAUUUUUCUUUAAUUUUAUCCAACUAAACAAAUAUGUAAAUUAGGAUUACUAAUCCGAUGAUUUUAGGAUUAAAUUCAAAUUUAGUCUCCUUUAAUUCAAUUCAAAUAAAUUUAUCAAAUAUAAAAUAAAUAUUUAAUUUUAGAAUUAGUGCAAUUGGAUACUUAAUCCUACAUCCAAACAUGGUCUCAGUUGUCAUAAGGGCAACUUAGAAAGAGUCGUAACCGAAAACAUUUAUAAAGCCAUUUUUUCUUUUAAUUUUCAGGUUCAUAUAUAUAUAUAUAUGUGUGUGUGUGUGUAUAAUCUUUCUGCCAAUGAAGCGCCUACCAAUCAGAGAAGUUAAUUUUUUAAUAUAUUUUUCGACGCCGGCCCCACCCCUGAUCUUAUAGCUUUGACUCCAGAUGAAUGAGGCUUUUCAUUCACGUUAUUCUUUGAAAGAUCGUGAUUCCAAAGGCUGCUGACAAAAGAAGAUUCUGGAGGCUGCCAAUCAUGGCCAUCGCUGCAUAAAUAUAUAUAUAUUAAAUCAAACAGGAGUGCGGUUACUUUAUACGUACAACUUGGGUUCUUGCCUUGCUGCCGUCAUGGAGAAUUAAUGCCACUGGUCAACGGUGAAUCAAUGGCCAUCGGGCACCAAAUUCAUGACCAAUCAAUGGCCAACAAGCACCAAAUUAAUGCCAAGCACACCAACAACCACGGAUUAAAUGGCAAGUUUAGUGUUUUAAAGUUUAGAAUAUGGAGAAGCACUUGCUACUGUAUCCAGGUAUUAAAUCAUCAAAAACCAAUUUGGUUUGGACUCUUCAAUUUCAAUUUGACUUCUACACCAACACCACACAACAACUCAACAACCGAAUCACUCGUCCUAAUAGCAUAGCAAUCCAGUCGUCGGUUGCCCGCACGUGAGAGACAAUUUUCUUAUUCGUGCUCGGAAUUGUUGAAUUAAUUUUACAAUUCUCUUGUACCAAUUUUCAUCAUAUAUGCUCCCUCAAGAAGUGAAGAUCGAUGUCGGAAUCACUUUAAUUUAGUUUCAAUUACAUGAUGUUUGGGAUCUUCUUAUACCAAUUUCGGUCUACAAUUGCCUCAAGUAUCCAUGUCCGUCAAAUCUUAUUUGUAUUAAAGCAACCGCUUAAACCGUUAACCUGUUUGAUUUAAAAAACAAAUAUUUGGAGCUGUUAGAUUGAACUCGUGUAAAUUAGGAUUACUAAUCCGAUAAUUUUAAAAUUAAAUUCAAAUUUAGUUUCCUUUAAUUCAAUUCAAGUAAAUUUAUUAAAUAUGAAAUAAAUAUUUAAUCUUAAAAUUAAUCCAAUUGGAUACUUAAUCCUGACAUCCAGACAAGGCCUUAUUUGCCUUAAAGGCAACUUAAAAAGAGGUGUGACCGAAAAUGUUUAUAAAGCCUUUUUUUUUUUCGGGUUCAUAUAUAUAUAUAUAUAUAAUCUUUAUGCCAAUGAAGCACCUGUCAAUUAGCGAAGUUAAUUUUUUUAAAAUUUUUUUUCGACUGUGAUUCUGGAGGCUGCUGUCAAGACAAGAUUCCAGAGGAUGCUGAUAAGACAAAUUCAAAUUGACCUUUUUAAUAAUUAUUAUCUUUUCUAAGGUUUAAAAUUUUAUGUGUAACGUACAGCUAAUGUGAUGUAAGUUUUACCUGAUGUAUGAGUUGAUGAACCAUCAUGGUGAAAUCAAAAUACAAAAAUAAUAGAGGUCAAUAACAGCAUUCAAAAGAAAAGAAAAAUUAAAACACAAAGAAAAUAAGGCCGUUGGAUUCGUUUUUUCAAUUUUUUUUCUGAAUAUUAAUACGUUACAAUGAAAGAACUUGCUAAUAUUUUCCAUAUUGAUCAGGAUAAAAAGAUUGUUGAUACAAUCAUACGUCAAUUUUGUAAUAUUAUAGUACAAUUCAAAAGUUUUAUUUUAUUUUAAAAUAUAUUUAUCCUACAUAUUUAUAAAAGAUAUUGUAAAAGAAUUAAAUUAAUUAAGAUAAAAUCUUCCUGCAAUCAUACUUGUUCAAGCUUCAAGUGUUCUCUACAUUCACUAAAUUUUAUAAAAGUAUCUUCUUACUUUUUCUACUCUAUAGCCUUUCUCUUGUGAUGGAAAAUAAAUUCUUAACAAGCAUAGACUUGGAUAGGCUAGAAACCCUUUUUAUAACAAUAUUUCAUAACUUAGAAGACUUUACACUUCCUCCAUCAAAGAAGUGAAUUUAAUAACCUUUAUCACUUCGAUUAUGAAAAUGAUUAGUAAACUAUAAUGCUAUCCCUUGAAAUAAAUAAGUAGGUUAUUAAUAUAAGUUUAUCUAUUUAUUUAAAAAAAAAUCACUUAUCAUGUGGACUAUAUAAUGAAACUUUGUGGAGAUAUAUCUACCCACAUUUAACUAUAUAAUGAGAUAUGAAAUUAGAGGUCCAAGGAGUAGUACUCAAAUCUACAACCUCAAAAGUUGAGGUCGUGGCAGGCAAAAGAAAAAGGAGAACCACGUGUUGCUAGGAAAGGAACUUACAUGAGUAACUGCAAAUUAAGCAAACACUAAAUUUUUCACUCUUUAUAUGAUAAAAUCGGAAUGUGUAUAAAAAAUAAACAAUCAAAAAAUAAACCAACACAAUUGAAAACAAUAAAUCAACCAUAAGAGAUACAAAUUAUUUUAUGUGGAAAACUCAAAUCGAGAAAAAACCACAGGACCAUAGUCCAAUAUAACCUUCCAUUAUAUUAAUAAUGGGAUUACUGCACAAAUUCUUCUCUAAAUAAUACUAGAGGCAAACAAUAUCAAGAAUCUCAACAAUCUUGCUCAUAGUAAUAGUCUAAUAUUUUUCAUUCUAACAAGUGGGUAUCUCAGAUAACAGCCAAUGAGAGAAUGAAAUAAAAAUCAAGACCAGUAAGAAUGUAGAGGGCGAUGCCAAAAAUUUACCUUCCAAAUUUGGGAGAUUAAGUUUGCCUUUCGAUCGUCCAUUCAAAGAUUAAAAUCCUUACCCUCAAAUUGAGUUGGCCACUGUCUUCUUUUUCUCUCUCAUCUUUUCUAUGUUUUUAAGGCUGCUACUUCACUUGUCUACUUUUUCUUUUAUAGCCAGGUGAUUUUCAAAGCCCAAUUUGAUGACAAUUUUCAAUUAGCCAUAACAUCUUUCCUUUAAUUUCUUAAACACCCAAACUAAUGGAAACUUUGGUUUGGGCCACCCAAAUGAGAUGGAUUCAACAAAUCUUCCCAUCAGAUCAUAUGGGGGGCACUACCAAGCCCGUUCUCUGCUGACAGUCUUUCAGCUUCUCCUUGGGCAACGACUUUGUCAUCAUAUCUAACAUAUUCUUCAUGAAUAUAGUCAGGCUGCAACUAUUUCUUUUCAAGCACGUCUUGUAUUCAUUGAUACCUCACAUUAAUAUGCUUGAAUUUCGAAUGGUAUGUUAAAUUCAUUGCCAAGUGAGAGCACUUUGAUUAUCACAGUACACGACAUAGCUAUUUUGUUUCACAUCCAGCUCUUGAAAGAAAUUCUUCACCACAAAGGGUUUUAGUGAUUGCAAUAUACUCUGCUUCUGUGGUGGAGAAAACAACACGAAGUUUGAAAUCCUCUUAGACUACCCUUUGCAAAGGUAAGUAAAUAUCCUGAUAGGAAUUUUCCAGGAUCAACAUCUCUUGCCAUAUAUGUUGUACACUUAUAACACAGCUUGUCACCAUUAAAACAUAAACAUGCCUUGGAAGUGACUCUGAGAUAUCUGAGGAUCCAUUUAACUGUUGUUCAGUGUUCUUUGCCUGUACUAUAAAGAAACUGACUGAGUACACCAACUGCAUGGGCAAUAUUUGGUACAAGCCAUGGCGUACAUCAGUCUGCGAAGUGUUGAAGCAUAAAAUAGUCCUUUCAUCUGCUGCUUCUCUUUCUCGCUUGUAGGAAAAUGCUUGGAACUAAGCCUAAAAUGGCCUGCAAGUGGAGAACAAACAUAUUUUGCCUUGCUCAUGUUAAUUCUUUCAAGAGCACUUUCAAUAAAUGCUUCUUGAGAUAACCAUAACUUGUCAAUUUUUCUGUCAUAGGAAAUCGUCAUGCCAAGAAUGUAUUUUUCGAUCCUUGAUCUUUUAUUAUAAAUGACUUGCUAAGCUUUUUCUUUAGAUUAUCAAUCUUACUAGCAUCAUGGUCAACAAUUAACAUAUCAUCCACAUAAAGAAAAAGAAUGAUAAAAUUAUUAUCACCAAGCUUCUUUACAAAAAGAGAAUGGUCAGACAUAAUAUUGCUAACCAUGAUUCUCUGUAAAAAAAUCAAAUUUUUUGUAAUAUAGUCUUGGUGCCUAUUUCAGUCAAUACAAACUUUUCUUCAACUUGCAUACACUUUCUUUGUUGCCUUUAACAUUGAAUCAUUUAGGUUGCCCCAUGAAUAUCUCCUCCUUUAAGUCACCAUGCAAGAAACUCCUUCUCAUAUCCUAGAGACUUUCUAUCCAUCAACAUCCAAGAUUUAUCCAUAUUUAGACUAUUAACUUUCCUACAAAUGCAUCACAUUUCAUUUGUUCAGUUUUAUUAAUAUUGGAGUUUGAUAUUGUUUCCAACCAUAAGAACAACUAUUAAAGUUACAAAAUCAACAAGAAAACAGCAGUUAAAAUACAAUAAAAAAUAACACUUAACAGCAAGAGAAAACCUAUAUCUUCAUCAUGACUAAUUAUAACAGUAAUAUUAUAAGCCAUAUACCAUAAAUCAUGGAAAGAGCAAAUAAUAUAAUUUUCAAAAAAUAGAGAAAUAGAAAAAAAUAGAAGUACCUUUUGCUAUUCGUUCCAAGAAUCGCGGAGCUAGUAACAACUUAAGAGACUGAAUCACGACUAAAAAUAGAGAAGAAUAGAAGCAAGACUUGUUUUUAGAUUUCUACUGAAAAAGACAAAAUUAUUGAAAUAAAACUUGUCCACAACAAUAAACUGGCUAGCUAUUAAAAUGAUUUAAACAAUCCAUAAAUAAAGUAUUAAAUUAAGUAUGCAAAUGUCACAUGUAGCAAAACAACAUAUACAAUACGAUGAAAUUUCAACAGCAAAAUUGGGUGUUAAAACCGUUAAAUAAAAUCCAUUUUUCCAUUAGAGAAAUCUAAAUUUUGAGAAUUUUGGUUUAGCUUGCUUUGGUCAAACUCAGUCGGUCUGCACAGUGACAAAGAAAAAGAAGCAGUUGAAACAAAAUGAGAGUGACAUUGCAUAGACUUGAUAGUGAAAUGUCAUUUUCUUGAUGCUAAUUUAUUCCGUUUCUAUUUGGAAUGAUUGAUACAAGCGGAAAGGUUUUAAAGAAUUGCUUAAAAUACUUUAUAGGUGCAAAGAGCAAUUGCAGCAGUUUAGCCAUGUAAAUAAGUAAGCACUUGACCAGUAUGUAAAGUUCACAAAGUAGCUAGAAGAACUCCAGAGAAGGCAUUAGUAGAAUGUAGCCACUAUAAAAAUUUCCACAAACAAAUUAAUUUAUAAAAAAGCACUGGAUAAGGAGUUAAGCAUACAUUAAUUUGUUUUUGGAACAUACAGCGAAAUUUCCAUAUUGGCUACUAUUCUACUAAUGGUUUCUUUCCACAAUUCCCAAUAUUAAGAUCUAUUGAAAACUAAGCAUACAUUAAAUUGCUUGUGGAAAUUUACAUAAGUCAAUAUAACAGCAGUUGAACUGGAUGCAGUUUGGGUGGAGAAAAAUGGUUUAUGUUCCUAAUUCCCAUUAUUAUGUUCUAUUGAAAAUUAAACAUACAGUAAUUUAUUUCUGGAAAUUUACAUAAGUCAAUAUAAUAGUAGCUGAACUGGAUGCAGUUUGGGUGGAGAAGUAGUGAGCGCUGGUUUUGGUGGAGGUGUUGUCAUUAAAGAGGUACUAAAUAACUACAACUUUAAAUCAAAAGAAAGAGUUUGUGCUAAUAUUUGCCAUGCAUAACUUCAACUUUAAAUCAAACUAAUGCUUACAAAUGGCAUGCAUCCAUAUCCACCACGUCGCAUACUACAUCACUCUUAUAAAUCUUUCUAAUGGAGAAAGGAACACGACAUUAUUCGCAUUUUUGUCCCUUUCUUAAUCUACUAUAUUUUGUAAGGUGCUGGAUAUUUUUCUGUUGAAAGUCCUAUCACAUCAAUUAGCGCCUUUAAAAUUAUGUUCUCGCUAUUGUUGAUAUCAAUUAUCACAUUGCACACGUUAUCUUUGAUGGUGCCACGUGUUCUGAAAUCUUACUGCACUAAUUAUCCUCUUCAAAUCUUGGUGCUAAUAAAAUCUUCUACAUAGUGUAAUUCAACAUCUCUCCUUCAUGUACCUCUUAACUCUAAAGCUUCUUCAUCAUCUUCAUCCUCAACAUUAUUCAUCUCUACUUAGCCAUAGCGUUUAUUUUCUCUCUUUCAAAUAUCAAAUAAUGGUUAAUAUUUUCUUCAGGAUUAUCUUUUCUUUCUUGCUUGUGAUGCUGCUGCUGCUGCUGCUCAUGAAUGAUAAAGUGGCACUAGGGCAAGAUGGGGAUCCCGUGGGAUCAACACAAGGAGGAGGAGGAAGAGAAAUGGUGCCUGCCUUGUUCAUUUUUGGAGAUUCACUUAUCGAUAAUGGCAACAAUAACAAUCUUCCUUCUUUUGCCAAAGCAAAUUAUUACCCCUAUGAUAUCGAUUUCAAUGGUGCCCCAACUGGCCGCUUUUCUAACGGCUACACCAUGGUCGAUGAAAUUGGUAACUCUCUUUAUCUAUGCAUUUGAUUUAUAUUUUUAUAAUUUCUUUUCCUUUUCAAAAUCCUGAAGGUACAUGAAAAUUUAUAUACACCAUGAUUGCAUGCAAUGCAGGGUAUUUUAAUUGCUCAUCUGACGAAUUAUUAUGAUUACUUCUUCGCUAGCUAAAAGAAAAAGCAUAAAACAGAUGUCAUUUUUAGAUUUUUCUUCUUUGUAAAUUUGUGUCACACUCUUGAGCAUAGUUAGAAAUAUCUGUGAAGUGAGUUUCAUAGUCAUGGCUUCAAUGACACAAAUCCAAAUUCAUUACAAUUAAUUAAUUGGUUUCCUACUUCUAUCCCUUUUAAAAAAAAUAACAAAAUAAAAGCACUUGUUUAGUUAUCUAUUUGUGGGGGGGGGGGGGGAGGACUAUUGCCAUUUAUUGCUCUGCCCCUACCUCUAUAUGUCUCUUUGGGAGGGCUCACACUGUCCCAUAAUAUUUAUUUCUAAACAAUCACAGUCAUUAUCUUAAAUCAAUAAAAAUAACAGAAUUUUUUCUUUUAUUUUUUACAUUUAUUAUAUCUACACCCACUUAUACCUAACUUGUAUUAAUCUGCAAGUACGAUCUGUUUGGGGAUAAAUUCACCAUAUCUGGUAGGCAUGUCUUAUUAAUGGCUAAAAGCUUCCAUAUGCAUAACCUCUUUAAAUUGUGUCCCCUUUCAAAGAAAAUUUUCUUUAUUGUCCAUUAGCUUUUAUUUACUCUUCACAAAUAUUUUUAAUGUCAUAUUAACCAAAUCUUGUAAAUUCAUCCAUUCGGCUGAACUACUGGGACUUCCUCUGAUUCCUGCAUACUCUGAAGCUUCAUCCCAACAGAAGCUGUGAACAUUAUGUUUGGAAGAAAAGCUUUCUAUGGUGACCAGAGCGUUGUUUAUCCCAUGAAGUUCCAGCAGCUUGCCAGUCUUUAAACUUAGAAAUUAAAGGGACAUAUGUUAUUGUAAUGUUUCUUGCUUGCUUAAUUGCUUUGCAUAAUUGUUGGGAUUAUAUGCUCUUUUAAAGCAUAUUAAUUUAUUUUCUGAUUAAUAAAAUAUUUGAGAUAUUUUCAAUUGCAUAAAUAUUUUGAAUAAGGUCCGUUUAAUCAUAUUAUAUGUAUUUAUGUGAUCAUCAUAUGGAUUCACAGAAGAUAUAAAUACAAGUUAUCUUAUGAUUAAAUAAAUUAAGUUCGCAGUUGAUAAAUAGAGUUGGGCGCUCUAUUUAUGUUUAGACUGUAGUUAAUUAAUUGAAUGAUUUGUCUUAAUCAUAUAUCAAUUUACUGAUGUAGUUUGACUACAUUGAGUUGGAUGACAUAUGAGAUUUAAUUAACCUUGAAAUGACUGUUAGACUUAUUAAAUCUCAUAAGUAUUGAUUUUACUGUAAUCUUAAUCUUGAGUUAGUUAUGAUUUCAUGAUUGUAAUUGUUAAUCCAUUUGAGUUACCAAUGGGCACGACAUACAAUUGUGGUCAAGAUUACCCGGUAUCUUGGUGGGAGCAAUUAUGAGUAUUGGAGUUAUAGAUUAACAAUAUAGAAUUUGUACGACGCAUCUCUUGAUGGGUUUUCGGCACUUGAUCAUAGAAUUCUCUGAUCAGAGUGUGUCAACAUAUUUAGUAUGUUGAAAAUGAUCAUUAGAGAAAACCAGUAAGUAUCAAAGAACAAGAUGUAAUUAAAUUGAUUGGACAAUUGAGAUAUCGAUUUAAUUAACGAUGUGGUACAAAUGAUUGAGCAGUAAAGAAAUCAGUGUGGCUUGGGACGAAUUAUUAUUCGAACAUACAAUUAUGGAGGUCAGUUCCAAUCUUAUAGUGGAGUAGAGUUCGAAUUAAAUGAUUAGGCUUAUUUAAUUACAGGAUUAAUUGUUGUAGCCACUAUUGUAUAUUCCCAAAUGAUCCCUGGGUUAGCUCAUUUAAUUGACUGCAUCGCUACUGGAUUAAUAAGUAAGAUAACUAGCUAUUUAGGUUAAAAGCCUAAAUAUAUUAUUUAGUGGGAGGCUCCAUUAAUAUGCUUGAGUGUAAGGGGCCUUGUGUUAUUUUACAAGGUGGACCCCUAUAACACAAGAACAAGUAACGUGACUUUUGUUUUAAUUAUUUUUAAUUUAAAUCAAAUGGGAUUUAAUAGAAUUAAUAAAUAAAUAAAUAUGGAGCCUAGGGUUUCCACUAAAUAGAGAUAUAAAAAAGCUUAUUUUCUCUAAAGAAAAUAGAUAGAGGCCACAUUAUACAAAUCAGAGAAAAAGAUUUUCUCUCUAAUUUUGAGAGAAAUUUUCUUGUGCUAGUUGCUUUAGUGGUGAUAAAGGCACCCACACAUCAAGUGUAGAUCAAACCUGAGUCAUAGUCUAGAAGAUUAUUUGGUGGCGGAUCAUGAUCUAACAGGAGUAGUGAUGACGGAUCGUGGUAUGGGAGCCUAAAUCACUUUAGUGAAAAAAACAAAGAUUGUUCAUCUUCUCAAAUUUUCAAGGUACGAUUUCUAUAGUACAAAUUCUUAUAUAUUGUAUGAGAUCAAUCCUAAAUUUUUUAAAAAAAAAAAAACUGAUUUUUUCCACAACAAUUAUUAGCCACCGGUGUCUCGUCUGUCCAUGUGAGUUUUUACUUGUUUAAUUUGCUUGUGGGAAGUUUAUGUAAUCAAAGAACAAGUUGUGAUUGUGUUUUGUUGCGUUGAUAGUGGUUCAGUAAUUGGGACUACUUUGAUUAUGUUUUGGUAAUAGAUUUUGCUAGUUUACUAGUGCUUCAGUAGGAUUUUUCUUUUUUUAAAUUAUUAACUUAUGCAUCUAUUGAAAUCUGAACUCAAAACUUAAGCCCCAAAGAAAUUGCUUGUUACCAUUGGAAUUAGACUUGACUUUCGUAGUUUAUUAAUCAACUUGCUUGCUAGGUAGCCUUGCCAUAUGAUAUGGUUUGCUAUCUUAUGGGUGGUGAUGUUUCCCUUGCAAUACCCCUCGCAUCUGUGUAAGGACAUCCAUCUAAUUUUGUUGAUAAUUUUGGAAGUUAAACUUUCUUCCUUAAUUUGAAUGAUUGAAAGAUAAUAUAUAAUUUUAGCCUCGUUGAUUCAAAAAGGGUAGAUUUAAAAGAGAGAUUGAUUCAAAAAGAUUAAAUUAAACGUUCAAAAAAAUUUAUAAAAAACGCAAGAUAUCCGCAAACUGUCUAAAAUACUAUCCUUUAAUCAAUAAUAUUUUAAAUAAGGAGAUUAUGGGUGGACCAAAAAUCCAUGUACCAAAGCCCAAGCAAACGCGCAGAUUUAACAACCAGUUUGGAACAGCUGCGUUACCAAAUUAUUUAUAGGUUUGGGUUCGGUUACAAAAACUCAACCACAAAAAUAAAUUUAUGUUCACUUAAAUUUCUACAAAAAUCUUCUAAAACCCCUUUAUAAUUGUUAACUUUUUGGUUGAGAGAGGCGUAGAUCACUCAACAUGUAUUAGUAGUCAAAAUUAGAAGAGAAACUUUAUCUAGAUUACUACAUUUACCAAAUAAUUGUAAUAAGUGAAUAUGAAAUAGUUCACUCAAAGCAAGGAUAAAUGGAUGAAAGUACUACACAUUUUAUUCACAAUGAGGUUUCCUUUUAUAGGCGUUACAUGAACAAACUUAACGAAAUAAUAGCAGCCAUUAUUCAGCAAAUACUGCAGCUACUUUCCAGUAACUAUAGCCUAAAGACUAGGUAAACACAAUCUUGCAAAUAACAUUACCAACAAACUUCCUAAAGACUAGGACCAUAAAAGCAACUUAUUGACACAAGGAAAUUCCAACAAUCCCUCCCUUAAACUAAAUGUUGUUAACAUUCAGUUUAAACAUUCUGCAGAAUCUUCUUCAAAUUGCAAUUUGCAAACUCCAAGUGACUUUCUCAGCUUCAAAAAACUAGCCAAUUUGAGGGGUUUAGUAAAGAUGUCAGCAACUUGGUCUUCACUCCUGCAAUAAACAAGAUCAAUGACUUCAUUUUUUGUCAAGUCUCGCAAGAAAUGGUAUCUCACAUCUAUGUGCUUGCAUCUUCCAUGUAGAACCGGAUUCUUUGAAAGUUUAAUUGUUGAACUAUUAUCACAGAAGAUAUGUGUUGACUCUAGUUGCUUAAAUUGAAGUUCAUGAAGAAUAUUUCUCAGCCAAAGUGCUUGACAUGCACAAGAAGCUGCUGCAACAAACUCAGCCUCAGUUGUUGACAAAGUAACUAUCGGUUGCUUCUUAGAUGACCAUGAAAUAGCUGCUGAACCAAACAUAAAUACAUAUCCAGAUGUGCUUCUUCUGUCAUCCAAAUCUCCAGCAUAAUCACUGUCUGUAAAGCCAUACAAAUAUGAUUUUUUACCCUUUUUGUAGAACAACCCAAAUUCACACUACUAGAAAAAUGGGCUUUAUUGACACCAAUUUAGUGUCAGUAAUUACUUUUGUUGACACUUGUUAAUUGUGUCAGUAAUGCUCAAGCCAGAACACACUGACACUAAUUUUUGGUGUCAGUGAUUUUUGCGUCAGUAUUUUGAGUCACUAUAGUAUCACCACAAUAGUGAUACUAUGAUGUUAGAAUCAGUUGAUACUAUUUCUAUGUCAGUAUUUUGUGUCACUAGAGAGUCACAAGGAUAGUGACUCAAUCGUGUUAGCAUUUAAUGAUACUAUUUACAUGUCACUGAUUUAUGUGACUACAAUAUCAGGAAUCCACUGACUCAGUAACAUCAAAAAUUCUUAUCGUCAUUUAAAUAAUUAGUGUCAGUAUUAACGAUGCUUUACCGGUUGUGUUUUAUUUUUUUUAAUCACAUUAUUCAUGUUUAUUUUACAAUUAAAAUAAACCCAAAAUAUAUUAAACAUACCAAAUCUUGUAAUGCAAUUCACAUAAUACACCUUGCAAAUACAUCAGUUAAAUUAAAAUAGUUCAAAUACAUCAUUGUUUGGGGGUAAAAAACAAGUUCAAGUACUAAAUUAAGCUUUGAACAAGUAGUAUACAUGAUAAAGUACUAAAUUAAUUUCGGAAAAUUUAGCCAAGAAGAAAAAAUAGAUAACAAUGUCACUGAUUUUGGAGUCCGCAUAUGCCUUCAUUUUUUUUCCACCUACAAGUAUAUAAAAUCAAUUAGCACAACACAAAAAAUGAGUCAUAGAUUUGUUUUAAAGAAAACUAAUCAUAAAUUACUUGUAUGUUACCUCGGGAUUGUAGGCUGUAAUUAACUUGGCAACGUAUGUAGCCCACUGAUCACGAAGUCGCGAGAGGUCCUUGACAGUGUAUUCCUCAACUCCCUUGAACUUUAAUUUUAAAACAACAAGUUAUUCACCGAAAAUCCUUGACUAAACUACUUAAUUAUCAUUCAUUUAAAUAUAUUUGUGUGUUAACAAUUAAAGCCAACAAAUAAACUCCAACAAUGUUACUGUUUUAUCCAAAAUUAUAUAGGUAAAUACUGAACAUCCUGAUCAUGGUAAUUUAAAAAAAAAAAAACAACUUGUGAAUCCCAACAGCAACAAUAUUUGAUAGUCGAAGCAACUUGUGAACCCCAACAGUACGCGAUUUAAUACAAAUAUGGAUGUAGAUACAAAACCUUAAUUAGGAUGACAACUUAUCCUCAUCAAAGUAAAGUACAAGCAACGACACCAUAGCACAUCCCCACUAACAACUACUUUGCAACCCAAACAAUUGUUUUGUGUUGGGAUAUGCAGUACAUUGUGUAUAUCCCAAAUCCUAAUUCAUGUCUAUAUGGAUAUUCAUAUAAUCUAUUCAACAGUAUGCAACAUAGUCACCAUUAUAAGUACCUCACAGUUUAUAAAAUGCAUACAAUACGCAAUAAAAAGAUAACUGUAAAGAAGCACACAAGUGUUUGAGCUGAUUCAUUUAACAAUAAAUUAAAACAAUAUGAUGCAGUAUUGUAAAAAUCAUUUUCAAUACUUACAUUAUUUUUCAGAACGUUCACAUUUGUGAUGAUAUCUUGCAUGUAUUUCAUCACAUAGUAACCACAUUCAAAGCUGCUCGGCUGCCUCAGACACUACAAGAUCAAAAUUACAUUAAUUUUUUACUGUACAUUAACAAUAAUUAGUUAGGUUUGUCUGAUUUUUACCUUGACAGGUAUCCAUUGAACAUUGGCCUUUGUAUCAGAAUUUAAACUCUGAUGUAUUCGAAUCCCCCUACAAUUAAGAGACAUAGCUAACGUUAGCAAAUAAUUAGCAUAAGACAUAAAAAUAAAAUAGCAUGAUCAAAGAUACAAAUAACAAACUUAACUGAUUGACAAUCUGCAUUAGCUCAUCAUCAGGACUACUUACCAAAGGAUCAAGGUAAUAGGUUGUACGUCUCACCAUAUCAAUUGCCAAUAACACCCAGUGGGCACUAAACAAAGUAAAUAUUGUUCUCACACAUGAAUUACAAGUAAAAGUUUUUAACUUCGUGAUUAAUCUACAAAUUAAAGAAUAUAACUAGCAAAUGAAAAAGGUUAUACCCAGGGUUAUACGGGAAUACAAUAACUUGUCCCAAUUCUGCCAAGCCUAACAGUUUUGAAAUGUAUUGAGUCCUGUCUUUAAAGCUGACCCUUGGAUAUAGCUUCUCAAAAAGCCCAAACUGAACUGGUUUAGUACUUCCAUUGCUCUCCAUCUCCUCAUACAGGUGUCUAAGAGGAAACAAAUAUAUAUAACGAAGUAAGUUUGAAUAUAGGAAACAAAAUAAUAGGGCCAAGUUUACUAAAACAUAAGUUAUGAUUUACUGUACUUGAUCCAUAUGUUAAUGAUGCAGUUUGAGACCUCUUUAAACUUGAUGAUUUCAGCAUAAAUCAUUUUGUCCAAGUGUGUUUCCCAAAUUUCACCAAAGGUUGCUGUGUCAUGCCGAAUUCUGAUCAACUGAGGUAAAGAAUUCUCGAUGAACAUGGUAAACAUGUUCAUAUAUUCACUCCUGUCAUUCUUUCUUGAUCGUGCUGCUGCCCGUGUAUUCUUCACGCGUACAUUGAGGUCUUUUACUGCUAGUCUGAUGACUCGGGGUUCUUUUUUGGCUACUUCUGCUGGUCUGAUGACCAGUGGUUCUUUUUUGGGUACUUUUGCUGGUCUGAUGACUGGUGGUUCUUUGUUGGGUACUUUGUCAUGACAGGAGAACUGCCUAUCUAGUACUUUAGGAGUUAGUCUAGGAGAUCUUCUCGGUGUGGGCUUUGAAGUAAUUUCACACUCUACUUUUUUGAGGGUUUGUUGAGGAGUUGCUUGGGAAAUUGUGGUGGGAUUGUCCUUGAUUUUACUCUUCACAGAUUUUGGAGUCGACUUACCCGAUGGGAAAUCAGCCUAUGCAAUAAUCAAAAUACAUACCAUUAGUAGCAAUACAUGCAUAUACAAAUGGAAAUAAAAUAAUGACAUGUAACAGGCCAUAUACCUUUCUUUUUCCAAGAGUUUCGGGGGAUUGUUGAUCAUUGUCAAUCUGAACACCAGUGGAAGUUUUGGGCUUAGGAAAGUUAGAACUUCCAACUUCAGUAUUGCUGUACGCAUUUAACCUUGCAUUCAUGCGUUCUAAUUGAGCAGACAUGAAUUGGAAACUCUCUUGAUACAUCUUUCUUUCUCUUGCUAACUCAGUGGCAUCAGGGACAUGAAAGUACAUAGAUGGGGUGACGAAUUGCCCCACUCCUUGCACCCUGCUUCCAUUUGGCUGCUUCUGAAGAGCUUCACCUAGAAUGUCAUGUGACCCUUGUGAUUGGAAUGUUCCUUGUUCAACCUUACUUUUCAGCUCAUUCUACAAAAAAAAAAAAUUGUAAAUCCGCAAUUACGAGUACAAGACAUUAGCUAAACUAAACUAAUAUCCUUCUUGAAUCUUUAACAAAGAGCAAACCCAUAUACAGUUCAAAUUGAAACUACAGAAAAUAUUACAAGACAACACCUCACACAAGUUUUAACUUUUUUAUAUGCGAAGAAAUAAGUUCUAAUGAAAUCUUACCGAGUUUCUGUCAAUUGUAAAUGUUGCCAUACAAUUAUUACAAAAAGCAGUAUAUAUGUACGUAAAUAUCUACCCCCACACACACAUAUUAUAAAGAAAAUUCAUAAGAAUUAAGUAUACAAGUGACUUACUAUUUUCUCAGCAAUUGGCAUCACAUCAGAAGCAUAUUUGCCAUCUCGGUUUGCUCGUGCCAUUAACCAAGCUUCACUGCGAUCAAUCUCCCGCUCAGAAACUCCACUCUCAUUUUUCUGUUACAAGGUGACAUAAAACAUAAAUAAUUGAUUCUAUUAUAUUAUACGUACUAGAUUACUUAUGUUACUGUAAUUACUCCAUAUUACCACACUUACUUUUCUAUACAACAUGCCACCAUAUCCUGUGCUAACCAAGCGAUAGUUUUAGACAUUCUUUGCUCUUUUGUCUUUUGCCUUCUUACUUUUUUCCUGCACAAAUAGUUUAUAUGAAGAACAAAAAGUUACCACUGAUUAUUAGUAACUACCAACAAUUAAAUCAGGUAAUAUUAACAAACAACACACCUGAAAUUGUUCAGACAAAACUUUGUCAACAAAAAGUUUCCAAUCUUCUUUUUUAAUGCUUGGAUAUUCAAUAGGACGCAACCUUAGUGACUUUCGAUCGUCCUUGUUAGGUAGAACGAAUUCCCCUGAUCUUCAAAGACUCAAGAUCUUUUCUAGCAUUAAUCCCAUCUUUUGUUUUGCCUGGUUGAUGAAGUAAUGUGCCAUAUAUGUUCUCGCACACAUUGUUUUCAAUGUGCAUCACAUCUAAUUGAUGGCGAACUAAUAAAUGCUUCCAAUAAUCUAACUAAAAAAAGAUUGACUUUUUUUUGUACAAUUUUUCAGUUAUGUUCUCAUCACCAUCACCGCCACCACCGCCAUCAUGUUUUCGCUUUUUGGCCUUCUUUUUCCCGAACUUAAUAUCUAUAUCUUCCACCAUAUUAAAGAUUUCCUCACCAAACAAAGUUUUAGGAGGCUCAUUCCACUCUUGCUUCCCAUUAAAAACCUUUUUCAGUUUCCGAAAUAGGUGACCGAGUGGUAGAAAGUGGCGAUGGCCCAUUUAUGACAUUUUCCUACUAUGUGGCAGCCAACAUGCACAAGUGUCUAUCCCACAAAUUGGGCAAGCAUAAUAGCCCUUAACAGUACAACCAGAGAGGUUUUCGUAUGCUGGAAAGUCACUGAUUGUCCACAUCAAGACAACCCAUAAAUUAAAGGUUUCUUUUCUAUAAGAAUCAUAAACAUCAAUACCUACAUCCCAUAGAGUUUUUAAGUCCUCAAUCAAAGGUGCUAGGUAUACAUCUGAUCAUUUCCAGGUUGUUUAGGGCCAGAUAUCAAAAGUGACAACAUCAAAAACUUCCUCUUCAUACACAACCAUGGAGGAAGAUUAUAUGUUAUUAAUAUAACAGGCCAACAACUAUAAGUAGUGCUAAGUGUACUAUGUGGGUUAGCCCUAUCAGUUGAGAGAGCUAAACGGAGAUUUCUAGGUUCUUGUGCAAAUUUUGGCCACUUAUUGUCAAUUAGUUGCCAGGCUGGUGAGUCUGCUGGGUGGCGAAGUUUGCCAUCUCUCAUUCUUUUAUUAGCAUGCCAUGUUAAAUUUUGAGCUGUUUGUGGUGAUUGAAACAAUCAUUUCAACCUAGGAAUAGGUGGAAAAUACCAUAAUACCUUUUUAGGAACCCCUUUCCUAAAUUUUGUUGAGCUAUCUUUUUUUAUUUGAUACCUAGAUGCUCCACAAUUUGGGCAUUCAGCAAGAUCAGCAAAUUCAUUCUUAUACAAAAUGCAGUCAUUUAGACAUGCAUGUAUUUUUUCAUACUCUAAGCCUAGCACUUUCAUUGUUUUCUUAACCUCGUACAUUGACAUAUGUAGAGUAUUAUUUUUUGGCAAAAUAUCAGCAAAGACUUCUAACAAAGCAGAAAACCUUUUAUCGGACCACCCAUAGUUCCCUUUGACAUUGUAAAGUCUCAUUAAACUAGAUAACUUUGAAUGUUUUGCACCCGGGUACAAAGGCUUUUCAGCAUCUUCAAGCAUUUCCUUAAAAGAACUAGGAUCUCUAUCACAAUGCUCAUAAGCAUCUUCGACCAUGUCAAUUAUAUUACUGUAAUCAUGACAUCUAAAUCUUUGACUAUGUGAAUGGUCUUCACAGUUUGUAAAUGUAGAUUUAGAGUCAGUCUCACCAUGCCAAGUCCAAACAAUAUAUCUUGGGAGAAAACCUUUUUCAAAUAAAUGAUCCUUCACCUGUUGAGGAGUAUGAAACUCCAUAUUACAACAAAAGGUGCAAGGACAUCUAAUUGACAUUCGAUUUUCAGCAUUCAAAAUGGCAAAAUCUAAGAAAUCAGCAACUCCAGAACGAUACUCUACAGACAAUCUAUCACAAGUUAUCCAACUUCUCUCCAUUUCAAAUAUUUUACUUGUUCACAUAUGUAAUGUCAGUUUAAGUUUAAUUAAAUUGCAUGAUUAAUUUAAAGUUCAAUGUUAUUAUGAUUAUAGUUGUAAUAAUAAACUUAUAAUUCUGGAAAAUCAUUAAUAGCCUCUAUAAAUCAUUAAUUAUAAUAAUAAUUUAGACAAAAUCCUGAAAUUGAAACAAAAGAAGUUUUGAAACUUAAAUAGGAGAUUAAUAGGUAAGAUGGGUGCUAAUGGCUUUUUAAGUAGUCGAACUAAUUCAUAAGUCAAGUAACUAACAAAAGUUAAGAGUUCAAAUAAAUAAUGUCUUCAUACCACUUUGCAAGCCAUUUUUUAAGAUUCUAUAAAUCAUUUUUUAACUUCAAAUACAACAUGCAGAACUACUUUAAAACAAACAUUUCUUUAUUGAAUCAAACACAAAUCAUCAACUUUAUAUAAUCUCAAAAUACUCACAACCACGAACUUAAUUAAUUCAUAUCAUAGUCAUUGUCUCUAUUACAAAUCGUCCAACCAAAACAGAAUAAAUAAACAAGUAGGAUUAUAUAACAAAAUUUACCUCUCUUUACAUGAAACAGAGAUGUAAAUAGUUUGUAACCACUAAAUACACAGUCAUUCAGCCAAUAUAACACCCAAACAAUCAUCUCCUAAUCACAAAGGCAAAAGCUAAAAUGAAAUUUCAUAUUUUAGUACAUUCAAAAUCAACUAACUUAUUGCUCAAAGUUAAGAAACGGAGCUAAUAGUUUAUUUCAGAAACUAAAAAAAAUGCACAUUCUUAGUUUUAAAUAACAAUGACAGUAAAUCACAUGCACAAAAGUUUGAAACUGACCUCAAAUGUGGCAGAAAAAACAGAGUCGCAGUAGCAAGUGUUUUGAGUUUAAGUAAUGCACCACUUAAAAUGCCUGUAUUUUUGGACUGCAUGUGAGUGAAGAUAUAGAAAAAUAAGAACAAAAAUUUCAAGUUACAAAUAAAUAAAAGAAAAAAAAAGAUUUGGAAAACAAAACCCACCAGGGUUGCACUACUGGUCAAUUUCUGAAUAUUUGAAACAACCCCAAAAUAAAAAUUCAAAAAUAUUAUUCAUAAGCCAAAUUAAAACAAACCCAAUAAUUAAAUUGCCUAAAAAAAUAAAAUAUUCUGCCAUUACCAGCUGAUAACCUCCUCUACAGUUCUUUCUCUGGACUUAACUUGUCAGGGAGAAUGAGAUUACCUGAAUACCGAACCGAUGGUGCCACUUCACCCCUUAUCGAUGGCUUUUACUUGCUUGCCUAGUAUAGGCACUGAAUGAUUUAGUUGGAGAAAAACCCCUUCAAUAACAAGUGAUUAGGGUUUUGGUUUGUGUUUCAAUUUGGGGGAAAUGGAAAAACGAAAUAGAGUUUUAGCUUUUCAUUAUCUAUCUAAAUUAAUUGAAUUUAAUUUGUAAAUGGAUAGUGCAAAACAGAAGAGAUCGAGAAGAGAAAAAUGAAAGCGAAAGUGAACGAUGAAAGCAAGAUAGAGACAGUCGAUAUAGUCUAGAUGGGGAAAAGUCAAGUGUGUUUUAUGUUGUUGUUAUUUAUAUUUUCAUUUUUUAAUAAUUUAAAUAUUAUUAUGACUUUGACUCAUCGAGAUUUGAUGGUCUGUGCUCCAAACAUUAAAGCUUUAAAUCUUAGAGCUCUUAGGUUCGAGUUGGAGCUAAAACAAAAAUUUUAUGAAUUUUUUUUAUCAUUGAUACUUUAGUGUUAGUGAUUUUUGAUAUUUAGUUUACUGACACCCUAGCAUCCUUAAUCUCUGAUUCCUAUUUGUCAAAAGCGGAAAAUGGUGCAUAUGUACAUAAGUACUGACACUUUUUGCAAAGUGUCAGUAAAGCCCAUUUUUCUAGUAGUGUCAGCAAUACCACGCAAGUAUCGAAGAAUUCUCUUUGCAGCUAAAAGAUGAUCCUCUCUUGGACACUCCAUAUAUCUGCUAAUGGAACUAACUGCGUGCAUUAUAUCAGGUCGAGUUGUCGUUAAGUACAUCAAGCUUCCAACAAUCUGUUUGUAAAGGGUUGAUCACUUGACUCCUAUUGUCCUCUGCCCCAUUGGAAGUUCAGUCAACUCCCAAGUAUUAUUUUUUUCAAUGGAUGCAAUUUCUUCGUCCAUGGCUUUUAGCCAUUUUUGUUCUUUGACAGCUUCUUUAAAAGUUGUAGGUGUUGGAGAAUUAACAAAUAAAACACAGUAUUUUAUUUCUUCAACAACACUCCUCACCAAUUACAACUCUUAUUUUUCACUCUCUACACCUUAGAGAUUUUACUACUUCACUUUACGUUUAAACCAAAAGGGAGAGAGGGUAUUUAUACAUGAAACAAACUAAUCACAACCAUUCAUUUAUUCAACUAAUAAACAAAUCCUCACCAUCCAUUAAAACCUAUCACUCACCUACUUCACCAACCAUAGCUAACACACCUAACACAAAUAAUUCAAACCUCACCAACCAUACCUACUCAUGGAACCUUCCAUGAGUUGGGCUUGAUUUAUUCAUCUUGGAUCAAGUUUAUGAUCCAACACCUCCCCUUAAACUUGAUCCUGUGACACCAAGCAAACUUCUGAAUCUUACAAAGUCUUCUUGCUUGAGUGGCUUAGUGAAGAUAUCAGCUGCUUGAUCUUGUGAUUUUACAUACUUGAUUUGCACUUCUUUUCUUGCAAUACACUCUCUUGUGAAAUGAUAGCAAGUGUCUGUGUGUUUACUUCGAUCAUGAAAGACUGGAUUCUUGGAUAGGGCAAUUGCUGAUUUGUUAUCAACACAAAUCUCGGUUGGCUCUUCUUGUGCCAAACUCAACUCCUUCAGCAAAUUUCUGAGCCAAAUUGCAUGACAAACACUUGAUGUGGCAGCUACAUAUUCAGUUUUACAGGUGGAUAGCGUGACAAUUGGUUGCUUCUUUGACAUCUAUGUGAAAGCAUUAUCUCUUAUGAAGAACACAAAUCCAGUUGUGCUCUUUCGAUCAUCUACAUCUCCACCCCAAUCGCUAUCGCUAUAUCCAAUAAGCUUGUAGUCAUUAGAAAAUGAGUAUAACAAGACGAAAUUAAUUGUACCUUUGAUGUAGCGAAGGAUUCUUUUUGCAGCUUUAAAAUGGGUGGUCUUUAGAUUCUCCAUGUAUCGGCUCACAAGUCCAACAGCAUAAAGGAUAUCUAGUCUUGUGCAUGUCAAAUAACGUAGGCUUCCAACCAAACUUUUAAAGAAUGUUGGAUCUAUAUCUUCGCCUUCAUCAUAUUUGGAUAACUUGACACCGCAUUCCACUGGCGUGCUUAUAGGCUUGCAAUCAUUCAUCUUGAACCUUUUGAGAAUCUCCUUUGCAUAGCUUUCUUGGGAGAUAAAUAUGCCUUCUUCCUUUUGCUUGACUCUGAUGUCAGUCAUCUUGAACUCUUUGAUCAUCACUCUCUUGAACUCUUUAAUCAUCACUCUCUUGAACUCUUCAAUCAUCACUCUCUUGAACUCUUCAAACAAGCUUGAAUUACUUCUAGUAAAGAUGAGAUCAUCCACAUACAGGCACACAAUCAAAAUAUCUCUAUAUUUUUCUUUGACGUAGAGUUUCUCUUGAAAAUACUUGUCAAUUAUGCUAUUCCAUGCCCUUGGUGCUUGUUUAAUCCGUAAAGUGCUUUCUUCAAUCUCAAAACUUUAUCUUCAUGUCCUUUCACCACAUAGUCUAAUGGUUGUUCGAUGUAAACUUCUUCUUCAAUGAAUCCAUUCAAGAAAGCAGACUUCACAUCCAUUUGAAAAAUCUUCCAUUUAUUCUGAGUAGCCAAAGAAAUAAUAAGUCUAAUAGUUUCAAGUCGAGGUACAGGAGCAAAUACCUCGUCAUAGUCUAUGCUAGCCUUUUGCAACUAGCCUCGCAUUGUGCCUUUCAAUUUCUCCUUUUGCAUUUCUUUUUGUUUUAUACACCCAUUUGACACCGAUCGCCUUGUGACCUUUUGGAAGAAUAGUAAGCUCCCAAGUAUCAUUCUUCACAAUGGCUUUGAUUUCUUCAUCCAUUACAAUUCUCCACUUCUCAUCUAGUGCAGCUUCUUGGAAGUUGACUGGCUCACAAUCAGCAAAGAGGCAAAAGAGAGUGAGAUUAUCAUGUCUCUCAGUUACCUUAUAGAGAUCUUGAAGACUCAUUGUACGUUCUUCGGUUCUUUCAUUUAAGAAAGACGGCGGUGAAUCUCCACAUGUGAUUGAUACUGGUGAGAUAGGUGAAGUAGCAGGCUCUUGUUGUUCGUCUACUUGUUUUAUCUGUGUAUGAUCAUCUUCUUCAAUGGGAAAGAAGUUGAAGUCAUCCACACCAGAGCCAAAAUCCUAUUCUCCUUCUUCAUCAAAAACUACAUCUCGACUGAUCACGAUCUUCCCGUUGUUUGGAUUGUAAAGCUUGUAUCCUUUGGAGUUGUUGUCGUAGCCGAUGAAGAUGAACUUCUCACUUUUGUCAUCCACCUUGGCUCUACUUUCGUCUGGUACAUGUACAUGGGUAAUGCUUCCGAAAACUCUUAGAUGGGUGAUGCCGGGUUUUCUUCCACUCCAAGCUUCUUGUGGCGUCUUGCCCCACACGCUUUUUGUUGGAGAUCGAUUGGAUAAGUAGACUGCACAUGCAACAACUUCAGCCCAAAAUUCUUUAGGUAGUCUCUUACUCUUAAGCAUGCUUCUUGCCAUGUCGAGGAUGGUUAUGUUCUUCCUUUCUGCAACACUAUUUUGUUGGGGGGAUCUUGGAACUGUCAAAGGGCGUCGAAUUCCAUUUGCUUCACAAAACUCUAAAAAAUCUUUGGAAAUGAACUCUCCACCUCGAUCAGAUCUCAUGGCUUUAAUCUGGUAUCCACUUUCUUUUUCAAUUGCAGCUUUAAACUUCUUGAAAGCUUCAAAGACUUCUGAUUUUUGCUUUAAAAAAUGCACCCAAGUUUUUUCUUGAAAAAUCAUCUAUGAAGAGAAGGAAGUAGUUACUUUUACCAAAGGAGUUUUGCUUGAAUAGACCGCACACAUCAGUAUGAAUGAGCUCGAGUGGCUUCUGAGCUCUUGAGUUUGACUAUUUUGGAAAGCUCUUUCUAAAUUGCUUGCCAAGUAAACAUCCUUCACAAAGUUGAUCAAGGUGAUUGAUGUAUGGUAAGCCUUUCACCAUGUUCUUCUUAGAUAGUAGCUCCAGUCCUCCAAAGUUGAGAUGCCCAUAUCGAAGAUGCCAAGUCCAGGAUUGAUCUUUGUGACAGGCUUUGAGACAUUUUGCAACAUCAUUUUGAAUAUUUAAAGGAAACAUUCUAUUCUUUGACAUUCUCACCUUUGUAAUUAGAUUUCCUUUGUCAUCUCUUAGAAAAGACUAUAAUCUUUUAAGUGAAUAUCAUAGCCUUUUUCUAAAAGUUGACCUAAACUAAGAGUGUUGCUUUGUAUAUUGGGCACAUAGUAAACAUUCGAAAUUAUUUGGUGGCUACCAUCUUUUGCACGAAAAAGAAUGUUACCUCUACCAUUCAUUGGUACUUUUGAAUCAUCUCCAAAAGCGACACUGCCAUUCACAGAUUCACUUAGUUGUAUGAACAUGCUUCUGUUUCCACUCAUAUGAUUGCUAUCACCUAUGUUAAGAUACCAUGUAUUUUCUUGACCUCCACUUGUGUCAUUGCGUGCUAGUAAAAGUGUGCCAUCUUCACCAUUUUUCUCUUCAGCAUAGUUCACUCUCUCAUCAAUUCUGGUGCUUGGAGCUCUGCAUUCUGAAGCAUAAUGCCCAAACUUUUGACAAUUAUAGCACUGUACCUGGGAUUUGUCAUACCUCGAUCUUGGAUUGCCUCUGCCUCGUCCUCUGGUUGAGCUUUCUCCUUUGGCAUAAUUGGAGUUGUUGUUAAAAUUCCAACCUCAUCCAUGACCACGACCUCUACCUCGUCCUCGACCUCUACCUUGGACAUAGUGCCUUCUCUCAUUGUCGGAGCUUUCUUCUCUUUUCUUUGGAUUGACUUCCAUCUUGAGAAGUUGUUCUUCGAUUCCUUACUUCUUUUUUUAUUUUUCUUCAUAGGCUUGCAACCUUCCUUGAAGUUGCUCGAUCGUCAUAUCCUCUAGAUCUCUUGUUUCUUCAAUUGUCACAACAAUAUGGUUAAACUUCGAGUCUACUGAUCGAAGUAUCUUUUCAAUGAUCCUUACCUCUUUUAACUCCUCGCCAUUUCUUUUUAAUUCAUUGGAAAUGGUCACAACUCGAGUAAAGUAGUCAGAAAUUGACUCUGAUGCUUUCAUGUGUAAGGACUCAAAUUCUCCUCGUAAUGUCUGGAGACGAACCUUCUUAACUUGCUCCGCUCCUUUGUAAGAGGUCUCUAGUUUCUCCCAUGCUUCUUUUGAGGAGGUUGUACCAACAAUCUUUUCAAAAGCAUUUUCAUCUAAUGAUUGAAAGAUGAGAUACUUUGCUUUAUUCUCUUUCUUCUUCAAGUCUUUUAAAUUCUCCUUCUACGCCGCAGUUAAAGUGACUUUAUUUUCUGGCACAAUAAAGCCUUUCUCCACGACAUCCCAUCCGUCAUGUACGCUCAAUAGAGCCUUCAUUUUAAUACUCCAAUUGUUAAACUUCCCUUUAAUUGUGGAACUUGAAAUGACAUCAUACCACUGUUUGCCAUAACUCACAAAUUGAGUGAGAAUUUAGAGAUUCUGAAAGCACAGAUGGAUCCGGCAUGUUGAAAAACCUUGGGAAGGACUCGAGUCAAUUUUCGGUCAACGGUCAAAGCUGGUCAACGUCGGUCAACGGUCAACACUGGCUUGAUAGUCUUGGUUCGGUUCGGAUUGGUUCAGUUCGAGUUGGCUCGGUUCGACUUGAUUCAGUUCAGCUCGGCUCGGCUUGGUUCAGUUCGGCUCAGCUUGGUUCAACUCGGUGAGUCGACUCAACUUCAGGACAGAAAACUUCCGGCGGCAAGUGUGGGCGCGUCCGGUCUCGGAUCGGGAUGAUUUUUGCGGCGUCACGUUCCUCUUGUCGAGAUCUUCGAUUUGAUAUGCUAUAUGACCAUAUAUAGCAUCCAGUACUAGCUCUGAUACCACUUUGUUGGAGAAUUAACAAAUAAAACACACAAAAAACACAAUAUUUUAUUUCUUCAACAACACUACUCACCAAUUACAACUCUUAUUUUUCACUCUCUACACCUUAGAGAUUUUGCUACUUCACUUUACGUUUAAACCAAAGGGGAGAGAGGGUAUUUAUACAUGAAACAAACUAAUCACAACCAUUCAUUUAUUCAACUAAUAAACAAAUCCUCACCAUACAUUAAAACCUACCACUGACUUACUUCACCAACCACACCUAACACAAAUAAUUCAAACCUCACCAACCAUACCUACUCAUGGAACCUUCCAUGAGUUGGGCUUGAUUUAUUCAUCUUGGAUCAAGUUUUUGAUCCAACAGUAGGAUCACAUUCUGAAAACAAGGCAAAGUGUAUGAGUGGAUUCUCAAGAGUGUUAAAUCAUGUUACCUCAUAAUCUGACAUCCAUGCAGACCUUCUUCUAUCACGUUGAGAACGUAAAUCUGUAGCUUCAACUUGUUCAUCAAGUUCAUUUGUUGUUGGUGGAGUUUCUGCUGAGACUCUAUUUUGCGGCAGGUCAGGAGCAGAGACUGUUGAAGGCUGAAGUUGCUGAUUUUCUUCAAUUUCACCAUCGAAAUCUGCUGGAAUUUGCUACCCAACAGAACUGCAUCUCCACAUCCAUGUCUUCUCUUCAUAAAAAAUGACAUCACGACUAAUGACAAUUUUCUUGAUGAUGGGAUCAUAUAAUUUGUAGGCCUUUGAAUGAUCACUAACACCAAGAAAAAUGCACUUUACACCUUUGUCAUCUAAUUUUCUUCUUUUCUCAUCUGGUACGUGGACAUAUGCUAUACAUCCAAAUACCCGAAAAUGAUCUACUGCCGGCUUACAUCCACUCCAUGCUUCUUCAGGAGUUAUAUUUUGAACAACUAUUGUAGGGCUUCUGUUCAAAAUAUAAACACUCCAAACAACUGCUUCAGGCCAAAAACUUUUGGGAAGACCACUCCUCUGCAGAAGGCUUCGUACCAUAUUAAGAAUUGUACGAUUUUCCUUUCGCAUACACCAUUUUGCUGAGGUGUGUAGGCUGUUCUCAAUUGUCUUCUAAUUCCAUGAUUUUCACAAAAGCUUCUAAAUUCUUGAGAGUUGAACUCUCCACCACGAUCAGUAUGCAAUAUUUUAAUUUAGCUGUCAGCUUCUCUUUCAACUAGUACUUUAAACAUUUGAAAGGCUGUGAAAGCUUCUGAUUUUUCUUGCAAGAAAUAAACCCAAGUUUUUCGACUAAAAUCAUCAAUAAAUGAGAUAAAAUAUCGUUUACCUCCAUUUGAUGUUGGCUUGAUUGGCCCACAUAAGUCAGAAUGCACUAGCUCCAGCACUUUCUUUGCCCUUCGGGAUUUUCUUUUUGGAAAAUUAUCUCGAUGUUGCUUACUGACAAUACACUCUUCGCAAAGCUACGAAGGUUGCUCAAAUUGUAGAAGGCCUACCACCAUAUUUUUUGCUGCAGCGGAAGUUUAAUGUUCAAAAUAUUCCAUUGAUUCUAGAGAAUACCGGAAUAAAAGAACAACUAAAUUCACGUUGAUUCAAAAGAAUACCGCGAACUUAGGGGUUAAGACUCGUUGAUCCCACAGAAUACCGAGAAUUAGUUGUUCAAAUACUCACAAAGAGAUUUGAAAAUUGAAAUAUUAUUGAACUCAAAAUUCUCUGCUUGUAAAAGCUACAAAAGACACUUAUUUAUACUAAGUAAGACUUAUCCUAAUAUGAUUAGAAAACCUAUUUUAAUAAGACUUAUGCGUAAAUUAAGAAUAUUACCCAAAUAAGCAAUACCUAAACAAUAAGACUCUAAAUAGGAAACCAAAUUAAACUAGAAUACAAAUUAAUUAAAAUAUUCCUAAAUAUUAUACAUUUAAAUAUAAUUAGGAUUUCUUCAAUUUCUUGCUCUGCAUCAUUUUUCUACUGCAAGGUCUUCAAUCUACCACAACUAAGAUGCCCAUAACGAAAGUGCCAUAACCAUGCUGUAUCUUUGAAAUUUGCAGCAAAACAUGAGUGUGCAGUAUGGUGAAGAUACAAAGGAAACAUUCUGUUUGCCGUCAUUUUCACUUGAGCAAUUAAGCCCAAUUUUUCAUCGUGGAUUCGGCAAACUCCUUCCUUGAUAGAGAUCUCAUACCCCUUUUCUUGUAACUGGCCAACACUGAGAAUGUUAGUUUUCAGUUCAGGAACGAAUAAAACAUUUGAGAUAGAAUGAGAACUUUCCUUGGUUUGGAUUGCAACCCUUCCUUUCCCCAUGACAGAAACUGUGGAGUCAUCACCAAAUUUUACAGUAUUUCGAAAAGUAUCAUCCAAGUCAAAAAAAGCAAAUUUAUCCCCACACAUAUGAUUGCUGCAACCGGUGUCUAAGUACCAUAGAUUUUGGUGACUUUCCUCCUUUCUAUGACAUGCCAUAAGAAGGGAAAUUUCUUCUUCCUCCUUUUCUGCAAAGUUAGAUUUCUCGCCACGAUUCUUAUUUAAAUUAGUACAGCACUCAGAGCGGUAAUGACCGUACUUCUGACAACGGAAGCAUUUAACAUUCGAUUUGGCUUUAGACUUUGGUUUAUGUCCUGUCGAAUUCUGACCAUCAUAAUCCUUUCCUUUUCCUUGAGAAUCAUCAACAUUUUCUUCUGAUUUGUUCUGCCCAUUCUUGCCUUUCCAGCCUCUUUUACCCCCUUCAGUUGGUUUGAGAUUUGUUGCUGCCUGUAAUGCAUGUUCUUCCUUAUCCUGUCGGAUUACUUUCUGCUCAUGGACUAGCAAAGUGCUUUCCAAUUCAUCAAUCGAAAGUGUGUCAAUAUCCCUUGAUUCCUCAAUCGCACAAACAAUAUAGUUAAAUUUUGCCAUUAAAGAUCGAAGAAUCUUCUCAAUUAUGAUAACAUCCUCGAGCUGUUCGCCAUGAAUUCAUCUCUUAUUUGCGAUUGCCAUUGUCCUUGCAAAGUAUGCUGAGACCGACUCUCCCAUCUUCAUUCGUAAAGAUUCAAAUUCAGCUCGAAGUGUCUGGAGGUGUACCCGCUUCGCCCUUGCUGUCCCUUGGUACUUCUUUUUCAAGGAAUCCCAAAUUUGUUUAGAGGAGUCUUUGUUAAGAAUUGUUUCCAAGAUUGAUCGAUCAAUAGCUUGGAAUAAGUAAUUCUUUGCCUUGAGAUCCUUUAAUCGUUGCCCUUCAAGCUCUAUUUACUAAGCAUCCGUCAAAACAACACCGGCUGGUGGUUCAGUUAUUCUAAUUGAAACAACCUGCCAAUAUUCCUUGGACCUUAAGAAAUUCCCCAUCAACAUGCUCCAAUGGUCAUAGUGACCAUCAAAGUGGGGAAUUACAGGUUGAACAAAAUUCUCAGAAGCCAUGAAUUUCUGCUGCUGCAACACGAGUGCAAAAAGAGCCAAGUAAGCUGCUGUUACUAACUCUGUCAAUCCACUUUUCUAAUUCAAGCUCUGAUACCACUGUUACAAGUGAAUAUGAAAUAGUUCACUCAAAGCAAGGAUAAAUGGAUGAAAGUACUACACAUUUUAUUCACAAUGAGGUUGCCUUUUAUAGGCGUUACAUGAACAAACUUAACGAAAUAAUAGCAGCCAUUAUUCAGCAAAUACUGCAGCUACUUUCCAGUAACUAUAGCCUAAAGACUAGGUAAACACAAUCUUGCAAAUAACAUUACCAACAAACUUCCUAAAGACUAGGACCAUAAAAGCAACUUAUUGCCACAAGGAAAUUCCAACAAUAAUAUUAUAAAAUGUAAAAGUUUUAAUGGGGUGUACCCCAUCACUAUCUCAGGAAUGGUGAUUUUGAUCCCUUACUAUAUCUCACAAGCGCCCCAUUUUUCAGUUAAUUCCAUUAAAAAUUUUAAACAAAUCUUUGUCUCUCAAUAUACCUUACCUAAUCUCUAAUUUACCUUUAUUUUAAUUUUUUUUCAUACACCCAUUGUAUAAAUUUUAUAAAAUCAUUUCUUUAAAAAAAAAAUCUCAUAAUGAUUGUAAUUUCUCAACUUUGUUUUAAGGUUUUAUCCACCACUUAAGAUUUGAUAGUUCCACCAAGAAUUGGAGGAAAGAACCAUGCCGAGUCGGCCCUGAAUAACCUUAGUAUCGUGCUAAGCCUAUCAAGCCAAAGUUGAGUGAAGGAAUACAAGAAUUUGGCCAAGGGGUUUGACGUGAUAAAGAUACAGAUUUUUUAUUAUUAUAAUUGAUUUGGAGCUAAAAAGGGGAUUCUUGAUUUCCUUUUCUAUGCAUCCCAAUCUUGUAUUCAAGUUUAUCUGUUCAUGGACCAGAAUGCAUUGCAUUUGGAAAGUGUUUGCAAUUGUACAGUGAUAUUACUUGGACAGUAAUUUGGCGUUGCAAUGCAUUUACAGAACGAAUGAAAAUUUGGAAUCGCGAUGGAAAAUGCUGUCAGGUAUCUAUCUGAGAAUGAAAGCACUCGCUUUCAGUCUCUAUGGGAUUGCAGUAUAAAAUUUUACAUUGUUCUUCAAUAUUUUGAAUAGAAUACCUUACUUUGAAUGGAAUGGCUCAGUUUAAAAAGUUAGAAGAAAUUAGAGUUUAAGAAAUUAGAUUCACUUAAUUAGUUAUUAAUAGAAAUUUUUAUGUCGGUGCACUUAAAAAUUAUUUAUUAUUUUAAGUUAUUUCACAUGAGGAUAAAAUAGGUAUUAACAUAAAAGUUAUUAGUAUGGGUAGAUAACAUAUAAUGAGAGAUUUAAACAUCACCACUCUACUCAUAGAGCAGCUUCAAAAACGAUCUCAUUGGUCCAAAAAGGCCUGACCCAUUGAACGAUGACCCUUAAAAUUUUAUCCUAGCUUGAUCCAUACGACAGGCUGAACAGGUCGGUCCUUUACACAAUCAAAACAAACUUGUGAGUAGGGGUGGGCAAAUAACCCAAUCUGAUUCGACCAAAAAACUUGAGUUCAGAUUGGAUGUAGAUGAAUUUCUCAAUCCAAUCAGGUAGGAAUCUAUCCAAAUCGAUCCAAAUUACACACAAUUAAAGAAUAUUAUUUGAAUUUUUUUAUCCAUUCCAAAUAUAAUUCGGAUUCAAUUAUAAGUCUGGAUUGAGUUUGGAUUACUUUUUUCCUAACUCGAUUAACCGGAACUUGAACCCAAUCCGAAACGGAAUUUGCCGACCCCUACUUCUUAUCAUUUAUACAUUACAUUUGUGACUAUCAUUUUUAAACUAAAAUUUUCUCUUGAUGCGAAUAAGAAAAAAAAACAUAGAGUAAAUUUCGUUAAAAAAAAUGAGGCACCAUAGAUGGACCGUACAUAUGGUACAACUAGCUGAAAUGUAAGUAGCCUUGUGAGAGCUGCCUACUUUGGAUUCAGGACGAAAUAUUUAAGAAGCAAGCAAGUAAAUAGAUCAGGAAAAUAAUAUUCGGCCACCCUCAUUCCAGAGGGAAGCCAAAAACGACAUGCUUCUGUGCCGUUUUGAGGUUUUAGAUUUGAAAAUUAAAAAUAAAUUUUACCAUUAAAAAAUAAUAAAAGCUAAUCAAAAGAAAUUAAAAAAUCUAAAUUCUUAUCCCUCCCCUUGCUCACCCCCUCUCUCUUUGACUCACCCGCUCUGUCCCUCUCACUCUCACCCACGAAGCUCGUUCCCCUCUCACUCACCCACAAGCUCGCUGUCAAUAUUUUUUUCGGAUCUCAACUAACGCAUCAUCAAAACCGCAACCAUGACGCUAGGCUGAGGAGGAUCCAGUGUCGUGGGUCAGUUUCUUCUCUAAUCUUGCCCUUUUUUGUUCAAUCUAUUUAUGCCCUGGAUUGAUUUAUUCUCUUUGUUUUAUUGUGUUUCUUGUUCUAGCAAAAUCUAUUUGUCUAAUUCACAUACGGGUCGCAGUCGUUGCUUUUAUUAUUUUAUAAUUUUUUUUAGGUGGUUUUGUGUAGUCUUAUGAACAUUCUUUUUGGCAAAAAUGCAUCUGGGUUGCUACGCGCCUACGUUUGAUUGUUAAUUAGACCUGAUUCGUAAUUCUAUGCGUUUUUUGAAUUUUUGAUCGCGAAAUUAAGUUAAUUUAGUUUAAUAUUAUUAGAUUAUUGUCACCUAAAAUUAGUAUAUUUAAUCAGUUAAAGAAAUUCUUUUGACACGGACUUUAUGAAACCUUGUAUGUGAUACUUUGCUUAGCAAAGUAUUUGGAUUUUGGAUUUUUUUUUCUAUUUAUAUUUUAAAAUUACUAGAAAUAAGUUAUUUGAAGUGUGAUACUUUGUGAAAUGUUGAAGCUUACGGUUUGGUUGUAAUUCUGUUUUUGCUUAUAUAUGUUUACGUCUGUUGGCAUUCUUUUUUUUUUUUUUUUUGGUAUUUGAAGUUUGCAUAUAUGGUGUGUAUUAAGAUUUUCAAGUUGUUCUUGAAACAUAUUCUGGGUAGUUUGAUAUAUCACAUGUUUCUAUGAAUUCUUUAGUUGAGGCAAUUGUUUUUGGUCUUAUCUGCAUUAUUAAGUUCUUUACCACAUAGAAUUCCCUAAUUUUCUUCUGCUAAUCCAGUAAUUGCAGCUUCAUUCUAAGGUUCUUCAUUUUCUAUAAAGCAUAUAUUGCUUCAUUGACACCCCUCUAAAUAACUCUUAAAAUCUCUUUAAUUAUUUUAUAAUUUUAAUUUUUAUUAAAAUUAUAUAAUAGGAUAAUUUUUAAUUAAACUUCCACUCAAAAGUUAAAUAAUUUUUUUAUUUUAGAAAUUAAAAAUGUUGUUUUUUCUCUAAUUUUUGGGUGAAGAAGUUACCACCAAUGCCUACAAUAGAGAGAAUGAAAACUCAUUGUUUCUUUCUUUUAAAUAGAAGAGACUCAAUUGUUGAAAUGAGAUUUAAUAAUAAAAAGUAUAGAAUUGAAUUUACACAAUAACUUUUAUGUAAGGGUAUUUUUAUCAUUGAUGAAGGUGUUAAAAGAAUUUUAUAAUUUUUUAAAAUAUUUUAAUAAGAUUAAUUAUGAAAAAGAGUGUUAAGAAAUAUUUAGAGGGGUACCAAUAGUCCCACUCUAUUUAUUGACCAAUUUAAUAAUUAUUAUCUUUUCAAGGAUUUAAAAAUCUAUAGGUGUAACGGACAGCUAAUGUAAUGUAAGCGUUAUAUAUAUGAGUUGAUGAAAGGGUCACGGGUGAAAUCAAAAUAAAAAAAAUAACAGAAGUCAAUAAUGGCAUUCAAAAUUAAAAAAUAAUAGAAGUCAAUAAUGAAGAAUUUGGGUUAAAUCAUAUAUAUAUGUUAAAUCAAACAGCCACUGGUGUGCGGUUACUUUAUACAAUUUGGGUUCUUGCCUUUCUGCCGUCAUGGGGAAUUAAUGCCACUGGUCAACGGUGAAUCAAUGGCCAUCGGGCACCAAAUUCAUGACCAAUCAAUGGCCAACAAGCACCAAAUUAAUGCCAAGCACACCAACAACCACCGAUUAAAUGGCAAGUUUAGUGUUUUAAAGUUUAGAAUAUGGAGACGCACUUGCUACUGUAUCGAGGUAUUAAAUCAUCAAAAACCAAUUUGGUUUGGAGUCUUCAAUUCCAAUUUGACUCCUACACCAACGCUAGCCAACAACAACUCAACAACCGAAUCACUCGUCCUAAUAGCAUAAUAAUCCAGUCGUCGCUUGCCUGCACGUGAGAGACCAUUUUCUUGUUCGUGCUCGGAAUUGUUGAAUUAAUUUUACAAUGCUCUUGUACCAAUUUUCAUCAUAUAUGCUGCCUCAAGAAGUGAAGAUCGAUGUCGGAAUCACUUUUAGUUUCAAUUACAUGAUGUUUGGGAUCGUCUUAUAAUAUACCAAUUUCAGUCUACAGUUGCCUCAAGUAUCCAUGUCUGUCAAAUCUCAUUUGUAUUAAAGCAACCGCCUAAACCGUUAACCUGUUUGAUUUAAUAUAUAUAUAUAUAUUUGCAGCUGUUAGAUUGAACAAUAAACCAUCCAACGGCUCUGCUAAAUAGAGACAAAAAAGUGCAGUAUGGUGCAACUGUUGUAACAUAGGUGGAGCCUAUUUUUAAUAUUAUAUUAAUGAUUAUUAAAUUUUAUACAAUCAAUAAUGCAAUAAGUUAUUAAAUGAUUAAUUUAUACGUUAUUAAAUGAUUAAUUAUAAAUGAUUAAAUAUACAAGUAAUGAAAAUUUAAUCUCAAGAGUUAUUAGAAGUAAAACUGCCAAUUUAAUUAGAUCAUAGAUAAGAAAUAAAAAAUCUUAAGUAAAUCAUAAAUAAAAAUUAAUUAAUUAAUUAAUAUUAACAGAUAAUUUUUCUUUAAUCUUAUCCUAACUAAACGCAUGUGUAAAUUACAAUUACUAAUCCGAUGAUUUGAAAAUUAAAUUCAAAUUUAGUCUCCUUUAAUCCAAUUCAAGUAAAUUUAUCAAAAAUAAAAUAAAUAUUUAAUCUUAAUAUUAAUCCAAUUGGAUAUUUAAUCCUGACAUCCAAACAAGGCCUUAUUUGCCUUAAAAGGCAAUUUACAAAGAGGUGUAACCGAAAACGUUUAUAAAGCCAUAUUUUUUUUGGGUUCCUAUAUAUAUAUAUAAUCUUUCUGCCAAUGAAGCGCCCGCCAUACAUAUAAAUCUUAAGUAAAUCAUAAAUAAAAAUUAAUUGAUUAAUUAAUAUUAACAGAUAAUUUUUCUUUAAUUUUAUCCAUCUAAACAAAUAUGUAAAUUAGGAUUACUAAUCCGAUGAUUUUAGGAUUAAAUUCAAAUUUAGUCUCCUUUAACUCCAUUCACAUAAAUUUAUUAAAUAUAAAAUAAAUAUUUAAUUUUAGAAUUAGUGCAAUUCGAUACGUAAUCCUACAUCCAAGCAUGGUCUCAGUUGUCAUAAAGGCAACUUAGAAAGAGUUGUAACCGAAAACAUAUAUAAAGCCUUUUUUUUCUUUUAAUUUUCAGGUUCAUAUAUAUAGAUAUAAUCUCUCUGCCAAUGAAGCGCCUGCCAAUCAGAGAAGUUAAUUUUUUAAUAUAUUUUUCGACGCCGGCCCCGCCCCUGAUCUUAUAGCUUUGACUCCAGAUGAGUGAGGCUUUUCAUUCAUGUUAUUCUUUGAAAGAUCGUGAUUCUAGAGGCUGCUGACAAAAGAAGAUUCCGGAGGCUGCUGAUAAGAUAAAUACAAUAUUUAUUCGAAUGGGGCUAUUGACACCACUCUAAAUACUUCUUAAAAUUCUUUUAAUUAUUUAGAAUUACAUAAUAGGAUAAUUUAUACAUAAUAGAAUAAUUUGUAAUUAAACCCCCACUCAAAAGUCAAAUAAUUUUUUCAUUUUAAAAAUUAAAAAUGUUGUUUUUUUUCUAUUUUUUGGGUGAAGAAUUCACUACCAAAGGCUACAAUUGAGAGAAUGAAACCUCAUUAUUUCUUUCUUUUAAAUAGAAGAAACUCAAUUGCUGAAAUGAGAUUUAAUAAUAAAAAUAGAGAAUUGAAUUUACACAAUAAAUUUUACGUAAGGGUAUUUUUAUUAUUGAUGGAGGUGUUAAAAGAAUUUUAUAAUUUUUUAAAAUAUUUUAAUGGGAUUAAUUACGAAAAGGGGUGUUAAGAGAUAUUUAUUGACCAUUUUAAUAAUUAUUAUCUUUUCAAGGAUUUAAAAAUCUAUAGGUGUAACGGACAGCUAAUGUAAUGUAAGCGUUAUCUAAUAUAUGAGUUGAUGAACCAUCACUGGUGAAAUCAAAAUAAAUAAAUAAAAUAACAGAAGUCAAUAAUGGCAUUCAAAAUAAAAAAAUAAUAGAAGUCAAUAAUGGCAUUCAAAAUAAAAAAAUUAAAACAAAAAGCAAAUAAAGCCAUUGGAUUCUUUUUUUUUAAUUGUUUCUGAAUAUUAAUACGUUAAAAUAAAAGAACUUGUUAAUAUUUAUCAUAAAAAUAUUGUUGAUACAAUCCUACGUCAAUUUUGUUAUAUUAUAGUACAAUUCGAAAGUUUUAUUUUAUUUUAAAAUAUAUUUAUCCUACCAUAUUUAUAAAAGAAAUUAUAAAAUAAUUAAAUUAAGAUAAAAUCUUACCUCCAAUCAUAGUUGUUCAAGAUUCAAGCGUUCUCUAGAGUCACUAAAUUUUAUAAAAAAAGUACUUCUUCCUUAUUCUACUUUAUAACCUUUCUCUUGUGAUGGAAAAUAAGUUCUUAGGAAGUAUAGAUUUGGAUAGAUUAGAGAUCCUUUUUAUAAUAGACUAGAGAACCUUUUUAUAAUAAUAUUUUAUAACUUACAAGACUUUCCACUUCCUUCCAUCAAAGAAGUGAAAUUUAUAACCUUUAUCACUUCUAUUAUGAAAAUGAUUAGUAAACUAUAAGGCUAUCCCUCGAAAUAAGUAAGUAGAUUAUUAAUAUGAGUUUAUCUAUUUAUUUAUUUAAAAAAAUCACUUAUCAUGUGAACUAUAUAAUAAAAAUUUGUGGAGAUAUAUCUACGCACAUUUAAUUAUAUAAUUGAGAUAAGAAAUUAGAGGUCCAAGAAGUUGUACUUAGAUUUGCAACCUCAAAGUUGAGGUUAUGGCAGGCAAAAGAAAAAGGAGAAGCAUGUGUUUUUGAGAAAGGAACCCAUAUAAGCAAUUGCAAAUUAAGCAAAAUCGGAAUUAAACAAAUUAAGCAUGUGUUUUUUUACUCUUUAUGUGAUAAAAUCGGAAUGUGUACCAUAAAUAAAUAAGCAGAAAAUAAACCAAUACAAUCUAAAAUAAUAAAUCAACCAUAAGAGACAUAUUUUUAGAUGGAAAACCUAAAUUGAGAAAAAAACCAUAGAACUAUAGUCUAUUAUAACCUUCAAUUAUAUUAAUAAUGGGAUUACAACACAGAUUCUUCUCUAGAUAACAUUAGAGGCUAGCAACAUCAAGAAUCUCAACAAUCUUGGCUUAUAGUAAUAAUUUAAUAUUUAUCUCUCUAACAAAUGAGUAAUCUCAAAUAACAGGCAAUGAGAGAAUUAAAUAAAAAUCAAGACCAGUAAAAAUGUAGAGGGCGAUGUCAGAAACUUACCCUCCAAAUUUGGGAGAAAACAUAGUUAAGUUUACCUUCUUAUCAUCCAAUCAAAGAUCAAGAUCCUUACCUCCAAAUUGGAAUAAUCGGCCAUUGUAUAUUUUGAAAGCCAAAUUUAAUGGUAAUUUUCAAUUAGUCAUAACCUGUUUUCUUUAAUUAUUUAAACACCCAAAAUAAUGGAAACUUUGAGUUGGGCCACCCAAAUGAAAUGGACCUAACAAAUCUUCCCCACCAGGUUAUGUGGAGGGCACCACCAAGCCCGUUCUCGGCUUACAUUCUUUCAACUUUUCCUUGGGCAACGACUUUGUCAUCAUAUCUGACCUAUUCCUCAUGAAUCUUCUCAAGUUGUAAUUAUUUCUUUUCAAGUAUGUCUUGUAUGCAAUGAUACCUAACAUUAAUAUGCUUGGAUUUUGAAUGCUAUGUUGAAUUCAUUUCCAAGUGAAAGGACUUUGACUAUCAUAGUACACAACAUAGCUAUCUUGUUUCACAUCUAGCUUUUGUAAAAAAUUCUUCACCACAAGGUUUCAAAGAAAACUUCAGUGAUUGCAAUAUUGAUGAAUAAAUAAAGAAAAGCAAACAAAUACUUCGCUUUCGGUGAAACUUUCAAAUAUCAGUCUUUAUGACUUUAAGCUACAUUUACCAUGUGGAAUUGAAUUGGACUAAUUAUUAGAAUAAGACUGGAUUAGAUUAUAUUGGAUUAAGCUAGUGUAUAUUAUAUUGUCUUAUGUUUGGUGUAGUACCAAAUUAAACUAUGUUAAAUUAUAUUUAAAUGAUAUUAAAUAGCAUUUAAGUUUAUAUUUGAAUAUGAACAUCAAUUAUUCAUGAAAUUUUAUAACAAUAAGUAAAUAAAUUUAAAAAGCAAUUAAUUAGAAAAUUAAGUAUAUUGUAAAUAAGUUAUUAGGUAGUCAUAAUAUAAUAAACAAAUAAAAAAGAAAUUAAAAAAUUCAAAUAUUUAAUUAAUUUUUAUCAAAUAAUUAAAAAAUUUUAUAAAAUCAAUUUAUUAUUAUUUUUUUAAUUUUUAUGAUUAUUUUUAAGGAUCCACCUAUGUUACAACAAUUACACCAUACCAUACCUUUUUAUCUCUAUUUAGUAGAGUCGUUGGAUGCUUUAUUGUUCAAUGUAACCGCUGCAUAUAUAUAUAUUAAAUCAAACAGGUGUGCGGUUACUUUAUACGUACAACUUGGGUUCUUGCCUUGCUGUCGUCAUGGAGAAUUAAUGCCACUGGUCAACGGUGAAUCAAUGGCCAUCGGAUACCAAAUUCAUGACCAAACAAUGGCCAACAAGCACCAAAUUAAUGCCAAGCACACCAACAACCACUGAUUAAAUGGCAAGUUUAGUGUUUUAAAGUUUAGAAUAUGGAGAAGCACUUGCUACUGUAUCCAGGUAUUAAAUGAUCAAAAAUCAAUUUGGUUUGGACUCUUCAAUUCCAAUUUGACUCCUACGCCAUCACCACCCAACAACAACUCAACAACCGAAUCACUCGUCCUAAUAGCAUAGCAAUCCAGUCGUCGGUUGCCCGCACGUGAGAGACUAUUUUCUUAUUCGUGCUCGGAAUUGUUGAAUUAAUUUUACAAUUCUCUUGUACCAAUUUUCAUCAUAUAUGCUGCCUCAAGAAGUGAAGAUCGAUGUCGGAAUCACUUUAAUUUAGUUUCAAUUACAUGAUGUUUGGGAUCUUCUUAUACCAAUUUCGGUCUACAAUUGCCUCAAGUAUCCUUGUCCGUCAAAUCUUAUUUGUAUUAAAGCAACCGCCUAAACCGUUAACCUGUUUGAAUUUAAAAAACAAAUAUUUGGAGCUGUUAGUUUGAACUCAUGUGUAAAUUAUGAUUACUAAUUCG